CACUACAUAAAAUAGGUAGAUAAUGCAUAAGACUAAGAUUGUAGCUAGGGAUGAAAAUCUAAAUACGACAUGAAUCUAACAAUUACGAGUAAUGUCUUUGUGACAAGAACUUUCUUUGUCUUUUAUUCCCAUGUUUGAACUAGUAUAGGUCGGGGUUACACAUUAUGGUGCACAUCACUUUAUUUAUCAUCGUUACAUUGAACGCUCAUUGACUAAACAACGAUGAUCCAUCCAUCUUGUAUUGUAGGUCUUCAUUUCAUUGGCCACCGAUGCUUGUAAGACUAGUCUCAUAUGGUUGUUGUUGUGGAUAUGGUUGUUGAGGUUGGUGUGGUUGCUGGGGUUGCUGGGAAAUUGUUUGUUCUGGUUGCUGGGAUAAUUGUUGUUGGGGCUGUAGAAAUGGUUGUUGUGGUUGUUGGGGUAAUGGUUGUUGUGGUUGCAGGAUGGAUGGUUGUUGGGGUUGCUGGGGUUGGGGCUGGGGAAAUGAUUGUUGUGAUUGUUGGGGUUGCUGGGGAAAUGGUUGUUGCGGUCCUAGGAGGAAUGAUUAUUGUGGUUGUUGGGGGAAUGGUUGUUGNNNNNNNNNNNNNNNNNNNNNNNNNNNNNNNNNNNNNNNNNNNNNNNNNNNNNNNNNNNNNNNNNNNNNNNNNNNNNNNNNNNNNNNNNNNNNNNNNNNNNNNNNNNNNNNNNNNNNNNNNNNNNNNNNNNNNNNNNNNNNNNNNNNNNNNNNNNNNNNNNNNNNNNNNNNNNNNNNNNNNNNNNNNNNNNNNNNNNNNNNNNNNNNNNNNNNNNNNNNNNNNNNNNNNNNNNNNNNNNNNNNNNNNNNNNNNNNNNNNNNNNNNNNNNNNNNNNNNNNNNNNNNNNNNNNNNNNNNNNNNNNNNNNNNNNNNNNNNNNNNNNNNNNNNNNNNNNNNNNNNNNNNNNNNNNNNNNNNNNNNNNNNNNNNNNNNNNNNNNNNNNNNNNNNNNNNNNNNNNNNNNNNNNNNNNNNNNNNNNNNNNNNNNNNNNNNNNNNNNNNNNNNNNNNNNNUGCAGGGGGAAUGGUUGUUGGGGAAUUAUUUGUUCUGGUUGCUGGGGGAAUGGUAGUUGGGGCCGGGGAAAUGGUUGUUGGGGUUGCUGGGGGAAUGGCUGUUGUGGUUGCAGAGGGAAUGAUUGUUGGGUCUGGGGAAAUGGUUGUUGUGAUUGCUGGGAAAAUUGUUGUUGGGGUGUGGGAAAUGGUUGUUGCGAUGGAUAUGGUUGCUGUGAUGGAUAUGGUUGUUGUGGAUAUGGCUGUUGUAGAAAUGGUUGUUGUUGAUAGGAAAAUGAUUGUUGAGGUGAUUGUAAUUCUUUGUUGCUAGGGUUUAGCUGCCUAGCGGCAGUGGCGAUGUUCAUCGCCAUGGCAAGGAGGACAAAGAUGAGGAAGGUCUUCAUGUUGGAUUUGUGGUUACUACUGCUUGCUUGCUUUUGAUGCUUGUGGUCUAGGUGUGUGAAGUUUGGAUGAUGAAAUGUGGUCUUGGUGGUGCAUGUGUAUUUAUAGUUUUCAUGGCAUGGCUUGCUUUCUUCUUCCCACUCGCUUUUUGAAAAAGUGCACCAAUGCUUAUCCAACUAAUCAUUUGAUUUGUUGUGUUUGGUGCAACUACUUACUAGCAAGAUUUUGGAUUUUCAUGAUAGUUGCUUUUUGUUGAAAUCAUCUGGUUGUAAGGAAUGUUGGAUAAUGACCAAUGACUCAUCUUCUUCACUUUACACUGCAAACAUUGAUCUAAAUUAUAUCCUUUUUUGAAAUUUAGUUUGUGAAGCUCUACAUGUUGUUAGGCUUAUCUAUAUUGGCAUAGCUUGAGUGGAAUUAAGUUUGUAAGCUUGUGAGCGUCAUUAUGAUGGAUCACACUAUUAAUGUGAUGAUUGUACUACAAAUUAUCUUUCCAAAACUAAUUUUAUGUUUUUUCCCAAUAUGAUUCUAAGACGGAUAACCAGACAUGACUCAUCAAAUAACAAGAUAAACCGAGUAGCAAAUUGGGGUUAUAAGUUAUAACAUGGACUUUUCUCUAAGAUACACUAUCUUGUCUUGCAUGCUCUGUGAAUUUGAAAAGCAUCUACUAAUUUAUAUGCAAUUGAAACAAAAGUAGACCAGAAAGAUAAGCAAUGAAAUGAGAAUACUAUUAUGUGAAGCUCUACAUGUUUGGCAAGCAAUAAGAUACUGGAUACAUCUAUAUCUUCAAUCCUGACAAUUUUUCUCAUCCCUAUCAACUCUUUAUUGGCUGCCUUUACUGUAGUCAUCCCUUAAAUAAAAAUCACUUAAAGAUAAGUUUGGGAGCUAGUACCAGCAUCUAUCAUGUACAAGAUAAAAAACUAAGGCACAUAUAGUAGUCUAUUGACUAUAUUUAAUUUCAUGUGAUGUGAAAGCAUGUGGAGUAUAAGUUGGUUAAAUAUAAAAUUGUCCUUCAUACCAGUAGGGAAAGAAUAUGCAGUAUAAAGAUUAGAGCAUUAUUAAUAUGCUAUUAAAUGCUACAGGAUAAUCGAUAGUUCAAGUUAAGAACAACAAUAGCAUUCCAACUUUUGUUUUGUGCAAGUUAAGAACAUGCUAACAAAGUAACCUAAGCAAAUAAGUGCAACACCUUCACCUAUAAGGAAAUUUUGAAACUACACAAAAUGACCUAUUGUAAAGAAGGAAAAAAAUCUAAAGGUGAAUGAAAAGCAUGUUAAGUACAUUCAGGAUUCGGUUAUGCCUUCAUGGAUAACCUUUUAGAUGGUGACUUGUCAACCUUGAUGUGUGUCGGCAUGGAACGAGGACAAGAAGACAUCGUUACGUCGUACUUUGGGAAUUUCAUCAAACUGGUUGUGUGCGGGAACAAAUAUUUGUCGCCUCCCUGCUCAAAUCUCUCUUCAUGUCACUAAAUCCGACACUCCACCUACCAAAAUCAGCUGCAAGCCAGGGACAAUCAACAGGUUUCUCCGCCCGUAGCAUCUAUCACCAAAAGAAGUUCAGACUAUAGUCUUGUAGUUUAAAAUUUUGUAAUAACAAGCACUACUAGGUUGCUCUUGUUUGUACGUCUUCAUUAUGUACAACCCAUGGAACUUAAAAUGCAUGGGUCAUUCUUCGGUAUAUACAACCAAUGCAACCAAACAUGCAUUGGGCUUUUCUUUGUACAUCUUCAGGUUCUACAACCAAUGCAACAAAAAAUCCAUUGGGCAGUCUUCCAUUCUAGUCGGGCACCAAUAGUUAAACGAGGAGCUAAACAGUGUUGGAGUCUAAAACUACAUACAAUCAUGAAGCAGAGAGAUGCGACUUGGAAGUUGUGCUCCUGUGAGCUCGUAUUUUUGAAGAAAAAAGUAAUAUUUGUAUUUUGAAGUGGGAAAAAGUCCUAAAAAGGGAUGUUUUGCGGGUUAUAACUUACUAUUUUUGAGUCCUGGGCUGCAGGAAGGUCGUAAAAAAUCAAUGUGUUUUCCCAUUCAUGCAUGUUUCUUGGGUUAUAGGUCACGCUUUUGGUGUCCUAGGGAGAUCACUUCCCCAGUUGGGAACAUUAGGUGAUGAUUUUUAGCAAAACUCAUUGUUUUAGCCUAACUAGUUUCGAGGAUUGGUGGACAAGAUUAUCAUGGAACAAAGUGACAACCUUCCUUUUCUUCAUGCCUAAUAUAAACUUAGCAGUCAACUAAAAGUAACUAGCGAUAUCACAGAAUGUUUUUUUGUCAAAAGUAGAUACCACUUCAGGAUUCAACUCGGUUAGUUCAAUCAUAGACAUGUUAAGAGCAGGAUUUACAACUAACUGCAUAGGGAACAUCUCCUUUUAUCGCCCACUAUCUGUCUAUGCACUUUGGUUUUCCCGUAGCAGCACACAAAGCACUUUGUUAGUACCAAUAAUGUGCUCCAACUCUACACAUUAAUCAUCUUGAAUUCUUCUACUGAUGUCGAACAAUGUUAUAUCUUGAAUUCUUCUAACGAGUUCAGAUUAUACUACAUGGGCAAUUUAUCUGGUCCCUGAGAUGCAAGGUCGAUGAACAAUCGCUUCGUCUGAUGAUGAGGGAUUGUUUUUGCCUAAGAAACCAAUACAUGUAACUUCGACGCCAGAUUAAUAAUUGGUAAAACCCAAAUAAAUUAGAUCACGAGCUAAACCAUUUAAUUUUGUAUGCAUUUAAACUUUUGAUACAUAUGAGCUUGUUAAGAUGUUCGCAUAAACACCAUGGUGAUUUGAAGCAAGACAAAGUAAACUUGAACCGCUUGAGCCACUGACUUAAUAAGAACCUCCUUUCCCGUGGCAGAGAUCGUUUUUAAUACAUCCACUCACUUUGGUUCUCUUAUGAAAUCUAGAUUCCUUCGCUAAGGCUAUUGCUCCAGUAUUGUCACAAAAGAUUUUUGUUGGACCCGAUGCACUAGGUAUGACACCUAGAUCGGAUAUGAACUCCUUCAUCCCGACUCCUUCAUUUGCUACUUCCGAAGCAGCUAUGUACUCCUCUUCACAUGUAGAUCCCUCCACGACGCUUUGCUUGAAACUGCACCAACUGACAGCUCCACCAUUCAAUAUAAAUACGUAUCCGGUUUGUGACUUAGAGUCAUCCAGAUCAGUGUCAAAGCUUGCAUCAACGUAACCAUUUACAACGAGCUCUUUGUCACCUCCAUAAAUGAGAAACAUAUCCUUAGUCCUUUUCAGGUAUUUCAAGAUGUUCUUGACCGCUAUCCUAUGAUCCACUCCUGGAUUACUUUGGUACCUCCCUGCUAAACUGAUAGCAAGGCACACAUCUGGUCUGGUACAUAGCAUUGCAUACAUGAUAGAACCUAUUGCUGAAGCAUAGGGAAUGACUUUCAUUUUCUCUCUAUCUUCUGCAUUGGUCGGGCAUUGAGUCUAACUCAACUUCACACCUUGUAACACAGGCAAGAACCCUUUCUUUCCUUGAUCCAUUUUGAACUUCUUCAAAACUUUAUCAAGGUAUGUGCUUUGUGAAUGUCUAAUUAACCGUCUUGACCUAUCUUUAUAGAUCUUGAUGCCCAAUAUAUAAGCAGCUUCACCGAGGUCUUUCAUUGAAAAAUUCUUAUUCAAGUAUCCUUUUAUGCUAUCCAGAAAUUUCGUAUCAUUUUCGAUCAACAAUAUGUCAUCCACAUAUAAUAUCAGAAAUGCUACAAAGCUCCCACUCACUUUAUAAAGGCUUCUCCAAAAGUCUGUAUAAAACCAUAUGAUUUGAUCACACUAUCAAAAUGUAUAUUCCAACUCUGAGAGGCUUGCACCAAUCCAUAAAUGGAUCACUGGGCUUGCACACUUUGUUAACACCUUUUGGAUCGACAAAACCUUUUGGUUGCAUCAUAUACAACUCUUCUUUAAGAUAUCCAUUAAGAAAUGCAGUUUUGACAUCCAUUUGCCAAAUUUCAUAAUCAUAAAAUGCGGCAAUUGCUAACAUGAUUUGGACAGACUUAAGCAUCGCUACGGGUGAGAAGGUCUCAUCAUAAUCAACUCCUUGAACUUGUCGAAAACCUUUCGCAAAAAGUCGAGAUUUGUAGACAGUAACAUUACCAUCAUCGUCAGUCUUCUUCUUGAAGAUCCAUUUAUUCUCUAUGGCUUGCCGAUCAUCGGGAAAGUCAACCAAAGUCCACACUUUGUUCUCAUACAUGGAUCCCAUCUCAGAUUUCAUGGCCUCAAGCCAUUUCGAGGAAUCUGGGCUCAUCAUUGCUUCCUCAUAGUUUGUAGGUUCAUCAUGGUUGAGUAACAUGACCUCCAGAACAGGAUUACCAUACCACUCUUGUUGGGAAUAUGACUACCAGGUAUGACCCGCCCAGGAGGGGCCGGGUCAAUCCUAAUGGCGGGUUACUAAAAGAAGCUCAGUGAAUAUACAAGGCGAUAGUUUAUUAUAAGACUUGUAGUAGGACCAAGCCCAAAGGCGGGUUAAGGCCCAUAAUUGUAAACCGCCAUGUAUAAGAAAGAAUUGUAAAGAAAGGCAUGUAAGAGAAGUCACCGAGCCGGGCACGUUAUAUGAGCCGGCUGGGACUCUGUAGGCCGCCAGGCGUCAACCCGUGUAUAUAAGGGGACGACCCGGUGGCGGCUUAGGGCAAGUAACAUCAAAUCGAGAGCCAUGCAUAGCGUAUUUGCUCCCUGGUCAUCGAAACCUAGCAAUACCACAUCAACUGGACUAGGCUUUACCUUCACCGUAGGGGGCCGAACCAGUAUAAACCUUUCGUGUCCUUUGUCCCGAUUAACCCCUUUAAGCUUCCUAGUUGCGAUGGCUCCACGACUAAGUCCUUUCAGUAGGACAUCUGCCGUGACAAUUCCACGACAGUUGGCGCCCACCGUGGGGCCAUCGCACGAUGGAUUUGAGUUCUUGAAGGGCAGCUUCCAAGGGCUCAAGGGAUACGCUGUGGGCCGGAUAACCAAAAGUUGUCACAGCAAGCUCUACAUCGACGACGCAGGCUGGGGCCCCGAGGCUGGCUCAAUCGAGUACGGGUACCGGGUCCCCUUCGGCGGAAUCCACGUCUUCAUCGGCCGGAUCGGCGAGCCGGGCCCUGAGUCGGACAUCUGCACCGACCUCAUCGAGAUGGCUCAGCGAGUGAGACCUGCCCGGGCUCAACCUGCCGUGAGGCGUGCCUUCGUGGGUUGCAUCCAUGGAGGGGAAUUUUCUGAAGGAUCGAUGGACGGUGGUGAGACAGUCGUUUGCUCUAGCAGUGAGUCGUCCAUAGGCGAGACAGAUUCUUUGUAUCAGCUACAAGAUGGCGGGCUUGGGGGCUGUUCCGAUGGCAGUAGUAUUCCGGACCCCUCUGAGCCGCCGAAUCGAGCCGGAGUCUUCAUGGCUGGCACUCAACCUGGUUAGAAUUCUAUGGCUGCGGCAGCAAUAACCACUGGGUCAGCAGGGGCCGGGUCAGGAGACCCCGCGCGCCCACCGGCUCAGGUACUAAUGGACCUCAUGGAUAGGAUGACGGCCCUGUUGACUGCUGUGGUUGAGCCGGCAGAUAAGGCUCAGCAUGACGCAGAGGUAGCACAGCUACACAGAGAGGUAGCACAGGCCAAGGAAAAUUUAGUGGCGGAAGAUGUCAGGAUGGCCGCGGAACGGGCGGCUCUGGAUGCACGGGCUCGGCAGCUUCAAGCGAAGACUUUCUGGCUCUCGGUGGAUCUGAACGCAUCAAACGAGGUCACGAGGAGAAGGCACCAGAAGGCUCAAUCAUGUCUGCCUCUGACUUACGAUCCUAGGAACCUUUUUCACACACCCGGGACUGGUCCCAGUAACCCGCUGAAGGCAAACCGGAUCACAACACCCGGGACCGGGACGCCGGUUCAACCGCGGGCCAUGGAACCACCGCGUGUGAAUACUGCUCUGCCUCACUACACAGCGAUACCACCGGGUCACUUCUCUAACCCCUUGGAGAACCUUAUUGCUGCGUCGGCUCAUCUGGCGGCUCUCCCGAUGGAAGGUGACUCUUCGACGGCGAUCGAGACACGACGGGUCAGAGAACUUCUUCAGACGGCUCUGGCACAGCAGGAUGCAUAUUCUUAUAGUUGAGAUAGAAUCCAUUCAACCCCUCGCCCAAGCCGGAGCCCAAGCUAUAGCAGGCAUAUGGACUCGGCGGCCAUGUCAAGCAACACCCAGCGCCGUAACCAUCCACGUGGGCGUGACCCGGCCCCGGGCGGAGCUUGUAACUUGGUAGACCAGGAGAGGAUCCGUCAAGAGGCUGAACGGGUGGUUCAACAGGCGGCUGAGCAAGCGGCUCACCAAGCUUUUCCAAUUUAUACAGUGACCUCUGUUGAAGCAGGGGUGGCCACAAGGACAGGAGGAGUCCCUUGUCUUGUGCAGUCUCUGCGUAAUGAGCGUUUACCAAAGGACUUUAAGGGGCCUCGUAAGGUGCCCAAUUACACAGCCGACCUGCAGCCCGGAGCAUGGAUUGAAAGUUACGAGAUGGCCAUGGAGUUAUUAUAAGUCAGUGACGCAGCAAUGGCCAAAUACUUCACCAUGAUGUUGGAUGGAACAGCUCGUACUUGGUUAAAGGGGUUACCGCCCAACUCCAUCGGCUCAUGGGCGGAGUUGAAGGCACGGUUCAUUCAGAACUUUAAAGAUACCUGUAAACAGCCCAUGUCAAUCGUGGACUUGACUAACUGCAAGCAAGAGGAAGGCAAAUCCAUGACCCAUUGGGUGCGCCGGGUCAAGGAAAUAAUACAUUCAUCUGAUAAGAUGGAUGCCAGCUCCACGGUCUUAAUGUUGGAGAAAAAUUACCGUUUUGAACCUCUGAAACAGAAGCUGGGGCGGCUCAAGCAUGAUUGUAAUGACAUGGGCCAGUUGAUGGCGGCUCUGGUCAAAUAUGCUGACUCUGACAGUACCAAGGAUCCCAUGUCUGACGAAGAGAAGACGAGGAAGGGAAAGAAGAACGGCAACGGCAAGGGUCACCAGCAUAACCCGACAAAUCAAGGAGGUAAUAAACGCAAGGCUGACGAGUUUGUGGCUAACACCAAUGCACAUGGCAACAACCAAUGGCGCAAGGGGAGGCCACCUCCUCGGUCAGGCGGAUCAGGUCCCACCCUCGAGCAACUACUAAAUGAACCCUGUCCGGGACAUGGCACCCGGGAGAAGCCGGCUACCCAUCUGUGGAAGGAUUGUACGAUCAUGAAGGCUUUUAAGAAUUCUAACAUGUUUGAUGGUAACCACGGGCCUGCUGGCGGCUCAGGCGGUGGCGGUUUUCAUGGCCAAGGCCAUCCGGGUAGUCAAGGCGAUUAUAGUCAGCAAUCCGGCCAGGGCAGUCAGCAACAGCAGCAACAGCCCGUGUAUCAGAGUAACCCAAAACAGCUGAACAGUGGACAGUACCAUGUGUUUACCACCAGUUUGUGCAAGAGGGACCAGAAGCUUCAGAAGAGGGAUGUAAAUGCUAUUGAGCCGGCGGUUCCACGUUAUUUGAGAUGGUCUGAACAACCUAUUCUGUGGAGUAGGGAAGAUCACCCACCCCGGGUUGAUAAUCCGGGUCAUCUGGCUUUGGUGGUGGCGCCUCAGGUUGGUGGAUAUAAGUUCACUAAAGUGCUCAUGGACGGAGGCAGUAGCAUCAACGUCCUCUAUUAUGAGACGUUCUGUCGCAUGGGGUUGACUGAUAAGAGUCUUAAAACAUCCAACACUGUUUUUAUGGGGUAGUGCCUGGUAAGUCGGCGUACCCAGUUGGUAAAAUUGAGCUGGAAGUGGCCUUUGGAGAUGAGUAUGAUUCUAGGGCUGAGAAGCUAACUUUUGAAGUGGUUAAAAUCAAGAGCCCAUAUCACGCUCUGUUUGGACGGCCGGCUUAUGCUAAGUUCAUGGCCCGGCCGUGUUAUGUGUAUUUGCAGCUCAAAAUGUUGGGUUAUAAAGGCACUAUCAUAGUACAUGGAAGCCGGAAAAUAGCCCUGGAAUGUGAAGAAGGUGAUGCUGCAUAUGCCGAGUCUGUUUGUGCAACAGAGGAAUUGAAGUUUUAUAAGGAUAAUGUUGACCCGGCAAACAUGGCGUCUUUGAAGAAGCCAACUACGGAGCAUGAGCCGGCAUUGAAAUUCAAGUCCGCUGAUGACACCAAGAUGAUUGAUUUCGUGUCUGGCGACUCAUCCAGACACUUCAUUAUCAGUGCUAACUUGGAUCCAAAAUAGGAAAGCGUGCUCAUCGAGUUCAUCCAUGAGAACCGGGACAUCAUUGCAUGGAAGCCUUCUGACAUGCCGGGUGUUCCGAGAGAACUCGUUGAGCACACUCUCAAUAUUCAUCCAAAGUUUAAGAUGGUCGGGCAAUUUCUUCGGCGGUUUAACGAGGAAAGGUGCAAGGCCAUUGGAGAAGAGGUGGCCCGGCUCUUGGCGGCCGGGUUCAUUGUUGAAGUUUUUCACCCAGAGUGGUUGGCUAACUCGGUGCUUGUGCUUAAAAAGAACGGCACCUGGCGCAUGUGUGUGGAUUACACAAAUUUAAACAAGGCUCGUCCAGCUGAUCCUUUUGCUCUCCCUCGUAUUGAUCAAAUCAUUGAUGCUACGGAGGGUUGUGAGCGUUUGAGUUUUCUGGAUGCUUAUUCGGGUUAUCAUCAGAUCAAGAUGGCAGUUAAGGACCAGGAGAAAACAGCUUUCAUCACUCCGUUUGGAGCCUUCUGCUAUGUGUCUAUGCCUUUUGGGCUCAAGAGUGCCCACGCGACUUAUCAGCGGUGUGUACAAAAUUGCCUUCAUAAUCAGAUUGGGUGUAAUGUUCAUGCUUAUGUGGAUGAUAUAGUGGUGAAAUCCAGAGAGAAGGAAACCUUAGUAGCUGAUCUAAAGGAAACCUUUGGUAACCUCCGGGUCUACAAGAUGAUGCUUAACCCGGCCAAGUGUGUUUUUGGAGUCCCAGCUGGCAAGCUCUUGGGUUUUUUGGUGUCUAAUGGAGGCAUUGAGGCUAACUCGGAGAAAAUAAAGGCAACCACGUCUUUGGCUAAACCGGCAUGCAUCAAUGACGUUCAGCGGCUGGCGGGCCGUGUCGCAGCUUUAAGCCGGUUUAUAAGUCGGUUGGGCGAGAAGGCUAUGCCAUUGUAUCAAAUGAUGAAAAAGGUGGAUGACUUUGUAUGGAGUGACGCUGCUGAUUCCGCUUUUGAAGGUUUGAAAAGACAGCUUGCUGGGCCACCUAUUCUUGCUGCCCCCGUUGAGAAGGAGCCGCUAUUGUUAUAUGUGGCUGCUAACUCACAAGCCGUCGGCAUGGCCAUUAUUGUGGAGCGCAAGGAGGUUGGCAAGGAACAUCCAGUUCAAUGGCCGGUUUACUACGUCAGUGAGGUGCUCAUUGGAUCCAAGAAAAGAUACCCACAUUAGCAAAAACUUGUUUAUGGGGUGUUCAUGGCAAGCCGGAAGCUUAAGCAUUACUUCCAGGGUCAUCCUAUCACUGUGGUUAGCUCUGCUCCUUUAGGAGAUAUUAUUUAGAACAGAGAAGCCACAGGACGAGUCGCCAAGUGGGCCAUUGAGCUUGGGGUCUCAUAAUAUAAAGUAUGUGCCACGUACGGCUAUUAAGUCUCAAGCACUGGUGGACUUCAUUAAUGAUUGGACGGAGUUACAGACACCUGAAGAGAAGCCAGACAACACAUAUUGGACGAUUCAUUUCGAUGGGUCCAGGCAGUUGGAAGGCUCGGGGGCUGGAGUUGUGUUAACUUCUCCUCGAGGUGACAAGUUUUGUUAUGUGUUGCGAUUGAUGUUUCCUUGUACUAACAAUGCAGCAGAAUAUGGGGCCUUGCUCCAUGGUCUUCGAAUGGCUAAAGAGAUGAGUUUAAGACGGGUACGGUGCCUUGGCGACUCAGAUUUGGUGGCUCGGCAGGUGUCAGGCAAGUGGGAUUCCAAGGACCCUCUCAUGGCGGCUUAUCGCCGGGAAGUUGAUGAUGUUGUUGGACAUUUCAAAGGUUAUCAGGUGGAGCACAUUGACCGCAGAAAAAACAAAGCGGCUGAUGCUUUAAGCCGGUUGGGAUCACAGCGUAAGCUGGUGCCACCUAACACUUUUCUAGAUGUUCUUCAAAACCCUUCUGUCAAACUGCCUACAGAGGAAGAUUUGGUCAUUCCAGACCCGGAGGCACAGUUAGUAGCGGCUCUUCAUGUUAUUCCAGAUUGGACAUUACCGUAUUUGGCUUACAUGACCCGGGGUGAGUUGCCAGAGGAUGAGACCUUGGCUCGACAGAUAACCCGACGGUCUAAGUCAAUGACAAUUUCCAAUGGUGAGUUGUAUCAUCGCAGCGUCACUGGAGUGUUUCAACGUUGUGUCUCUCCCGAAGAAGGUCAAGAAAUUCUUCGUGAGAUCCAUGAAGGGGAUUGUGGUCAUCACGCUGGUUCAAAGUCUCUUGUGGCUAAAGCUUUUCGUCAUUGUUUUUACUGGCUAACGGCUCACGCUGAUGCAGAGGAUCUGGUCAGUAGGUGUGAUGGGUGUCAAAAAUUUGCACGACGAGCGCACGUGCCGGCUUAAGAAUUGCGGAUGAUUCCAAUCACUUGGCCGUUUGCAGUCUGGGGGCUUGACAUGGUUGGACCUUUUAAAAGAUCCAAGGAUAAAAAGACACAUCUUUUGGUGGUAGUUCACAAAUUUACAAAAUGGGUUGAGGCAGAGCCGGUUAGUAAGUGUGAUGCAGCCACGAUGGUUCAGUUCAUGAAAAAGGUGAUCUUUCGUUUUGGCUUUCCACAUAGCAUUAUAACUGACAAUGGUACUAAUCUGUCCAAAGGCAACAUGGAGGAGUUUUGUCAAUGUGAGCAUAUCCGGCUUGAUGUUUUGUCUGUAGCUCACCCCCAAUCCAAUGGUCAAGCUGAGAGAGCAAAUCAGGAAAUCCUAAAAGGUCUCAAGCCCGACUUAUGGUUCGUUUACAACGGACGCCGGGUUGUUGGGUGGAGGAAUUACCCUCGGUGCUGUGGAGUAUCAAUACCACUCCUAACAGAUCUACAGGUUAUACACCUUUCUUCAUGGUUUAUGGAGCAGAAGCAGUUCUGCCUAGUGACAUCCGUCAUGACUCACCUCGCGUGGCGGCCUAUGUUGAAGCUGAUAAUGAACAAGCCCGACAGGAUGCACUUGACUUGUUAGAUGAGGAGAGAGAUUUGGCAGUGGCUCAAUCAGCAAUUUAUCAACAAGACUUGCGCCGUUAUCACAGCCGCCGGGUUAAGUCCAGAACCUUUCAAGAAGGUGACCUAGUGCUCCGGCUCAUCCAGGAUCUGUCUGAUGCACACAAGCUAUCCCCGCCUUGGGAAGGACCCUUUGUGGUCAACAAGAACUUAAACAAUGGGUCAUAUUACCUCAUUGAUGUUCGAGAGCACAAAGACCCACGUAAGUCGGAGGAGGAGACCCGCCGGCCGUGGAACAUCGCUCAGCUUCGGCCAUACUACACUUAAACCAUCGGCUCUCAUCAUGUACAUACUUUGACGUUGUAUAUAAUAUGAUAAGUAAUAAAGCAGGACCUCUGUCCUUUUUCCCCUUCAAUGAUCAUAUAUCUUUAUUAUUUUCAUUAUUUAAAAUGACCAUUAGGGGGCUGAUCGUAUCCGAAUCUAGCUUAACCCUUUUGGUCCGGCUCAUGAUCGUAUUCGAAUCUAGCCGUAAAACUCAUGGUCACUUGGGGGCUUCCUGUUCAAACAUAGGUCGUAUUCGAACCAAAGAGAACAUAGCUGUCGUAACCCUCUUGAUCGGCUCAAAGCCAAACUCACUAGGGGGCUUCUUGAUCGUAUCUGAAUCAUAGCUUAACCCCUUUUUGGGUCCAACUUGGAUCGUAUUCGAAUCAGGGUCGUUAAAAACCUCUCAAGGUCAUUUGGGGGCUUCCUAUUCAAACAUAGGUCGUAUUCGAACCAAAGAGAACAUAGCUGUCGGUACCCUCUUGAUCGGCGCAACGCCAAAGCCACUGGGGGCUAUAUGAUCGUAUCCGAAUCUUAGCUUAACCCCUUUGGUCCGGUUUACUGAUCGUAUUCGAAUUAGAAGCCUCCAGUUUUUAUUUAAAUGUUUGAUUUACAUUGUCUGAAGCCUAGUGUUUUAUCUUACUAUUUUUAUCGUCUCAAAUCUAACUGUUAGUAUGGUUUCAAAUUAAACCGGCUUGGCUAUUUGACAAUGUGUCGCCAAGGCAUAACAGUCAUCAGACAUAUGGAAGUAUUGACUUCUAAAAAAGAUUGGGUUAUCAACCUCAUCAUCCGGGUCAUGUAAACCGACAGUCCAUGUUCAAAAACCACAGGUAUGACAGUGUCAUUCAUGAACAGACUUCCCUGGGUUUUUCGUCAGUCAAAGGAUUUUUCAGCCUUGUUUAUCUUACAUCUGGUUCUAUUUUUUCCACUAUGAUAAUUUCAUAAUCAUGUACCGGGUGUUUUGACCCGUCCGGUGCUAAGCCACCGGGACAGUUUUUUUCAUCUUUUACAGGAACAGAGUUAAAACAUUACAGAUGUAACCACGAUGUAAUGCAUAUAUAUAUUGACAUCAUGGGCAAAGAGUCAUAUGAAACAUCUUAUGCACGAUGGCAUAGGCAAAAUAUGCAAUUUUCAAACUAACCUAUUACAAGGCAUUGAGAGCCCAAAAGGUUAAACGGUUUUCUCUCUUAAGCAGGUCUUAAGCUAAAAACUGGAUUGUUCAGAUGGUUAUGACUCCUCCCUGGCCGUUUCACCUCCCUCCACUGGUUGGAAGCUGGGAUUGGACCAGUCAAAGCCGUUCAGAGCAAUGAACUCAGCCUCAUCGUCAAUUAGGCCGGCCGGGUCAAUUUGCAGGGCAAAAGUGUGUUGACGAACCGGCGGGAUAAGAUCCAUCACUUUAUAAGAGGGAGUCGCCAUCUUUUUAUUCUCCAUAUCAAAACCCGACUGAUAUUUUUCGAUGUUGGUCUCCUCACCAAGAAUGGUAGCCUGAGGACGAACUCCCCUCACACAAGCAAUAAAGUCAUCUUGCUCAAACGGAGUCCCGUCUUCCUUCAUGGUAGGGUACCCCUUAGCCACGUCCACCGGGUGUAAAUCGGGCACCCAGGCUUUGGAGCGGCUCAGGGCAGUCAGGGCUCCGACUCUGGCACAAGAUCGUUUGACCUCUUGAAAUCUGGCGGGUAAGAUCGAUAACUUCUUCAAAACAUCACUUAAACGGUUGGGUCCUUGGUUGGCAGGGGAUAUAUAUAGUAGAAAGUGCUCGUUGAGCACCAGUGUACAGUUGCUCCACCAAGGUAUAAACCGCCUUCAGUUUUGUCACACUAUCUUGACUCAGAUAUUUUACUUCGUGGACCUGUGAGUACUUUUUAACAAAGGCUCAGCAGGCGGCUUAUAUUUCUGGUUAAAAUAAAGUAUAAGUGACUAAUGCAAAUGACUUACCAAAGAUGGCGGAGACCAUUUGAUACACACGGUUUUUUAAGCCGGUGAGCUCCAUGGUAACCUCCUCAAGAGUCGCCUCUGCUGUCUUGGCACGUUGUGUCAGCAAGGUCUUCUCAUCGGCCCAGGAUUUCUUCUUCUCAGUCACACUGGUCUUCAAUUUUUCAGUUUUAGAGAGACUCAAUUGGAGUUUGGAGUUAGCAGUCUUUAUCUCCGCUUCUUGAUCCGCCAGCCGGGUCUUUGCAUCCGUCAAUUGAGAUCCCAAUUCAGUUAGGGCGGUCUACAAACAUGCAUAGGUGUGUCAAAAUUUAAACACAAGUUAUAUUGAUUAAAGUCGCGAGUGCUUUGCAACGCAACACCACUUGGCACUUGGGGGCUAAUGUCUGCCAAAGCAAUUUUAUGCAAAAUGACUCUUCUAUGUUUCAAGUCCCAAGUGUUUUACAAAGUAACAACGCUUGGCACUUGGGGGCUAAUGCAUGAUAUUCAGAAAGUUUUUCAAGAUGAGCCGGAUCACACUACUUAUUUGGACUAAUCUAAGACAGUUAUGAAGUUAAGUACCGGGUCAUUUAUGAUAAAUUGAGCCGGCCCUUGGGGACUACAUGUGAAGUUUAUACUAAUCCGUUGAACUUAGGAAAAAUCUAAAGACAAGGUAUCAACCUAUAUCAUAAGUCUACAGAUCAUUCAGGUUCAUCAUAAUCUGAAGACUUGGGGGCUGGCAGAGUAUAUAUAAACCGGAGAACGUACCUCAUAUUCUGUAACAUCCCAAAUUUUCAAUUUGGAAUGUUACACGUUAGGUCAUCAUGCAUAUCAUAUUUUAUUUUUCUUUUGGUUUUGAUCCUAGAAAAUCCUAAGCAACUCAAGGACCCACGGAGAGAGUUGGGGAUUUCAUUAUUUACAUAUUUGAGUUUUCUCAAAUUAUGUAAACAGGAUCAUUUGAUUUUAUUUAUUCUAUCAUCAAUUAUUUCUAUUACAAAAAUAUGAGAGAGGGAAUAAAAUGACUUUUCCAAAAUAUAGAAAUAUUGAGGAUUUAAUAAAAAAUCAAAUAAGUUUUAUUUCGGAGUUUUUUGGUAUUUUUAUUUGAAUUUAGGAAAAAUGCGCGUUUUUCAAAUUGUAGUUUGGGCCCAGAUAAAUGUUCACUUUAUCGGGCUUGAUUUUAGGAACCCGGCAAAAUUUAUUUCGUGAUUUUUGGAGUCCGUUUAGUAUUUCUUUUUAUUUUUCUUCCGAGCGGAUUUAAAAAAAAACUAGAACCGACUCCGUGCCGUAACCGGCCAGGAAACCUCCGCCCGGGGCCUUUAUAUAGCGCCCGAACCGGCCGAGAGAGAGAGAGAGGCCCGAAGCCAGCUAACCCUAACCCUAGCUAAGCCGCCGCCGCCUCCCAGCCGUCGCCGCCCGCCGCUGCCGACUCGCCGGAGCGCGCGCCUUUCGAGGUUCGCCGCCGCCUCGUUUUCCGUGAAGUUUUUUUUUAAAAAAAAAAUCUGUUCGUCGUUUUUCUUUUUCGUCGGAUUUUCCGCGGUUAUUUUCUGAUCGCGAUUUCUGAUCCGGUUUUCGUUUUAGUAUAACUUUUCGCUCGUUUAUCGGAAUCAGGCGAUUCAAGCGCCUGGAGUUUCGUCUCGAAACCCUCUUUCCGAAUAAUCAACUUAAACAAGUUUUUGCUACUGUAAAAUUUGCCCUAGAUCCAGAUUACUAGAAGGAAGUUGUUUUUUUUGCCGUUUGAUUUCUUUCGCUUCGUUCGAUUUGAUUCUUUUGCCAACCAGGGUUCUUAAGUUGAACUUUCUGGUUAGAUCUUCUAUUUGAGUUUUACUUGUGCAUUAGAUGAGUACUUAUUGUAUGCUUGAUGUUUGUCUGUGAUAGAAUACCCGGAGUGCGCCGCCUGUUACUUCGAAUCUCUAGGUUUCGCGGAUCAUCAGCAAGGCAAGUAACACUUUGAUCAUACCUUUUCUACAACCCAGUUUUAUUGCAUUAGAUCAAUCCUCACACAUUGCAUGAUUAGGAUCUAAUUAAAUUGUGGGAUGGGAAGUAGAUGAGGUAGUACCUAUUACCUGUUUAUUAUCAAACCUUUGGGAGUUACUUCUACGUUUGCUUAUGCCAUGUUAUGCCGGUAGACGUGGAUUGGGUGAGUGAUAUCCAUGACAGAUGUGAGAUUUAUAAUUAAGGGUUAUCUAAGGUGGCAACCUAACACACAUCUGGGUGGAUUGAGGCACCUGGGGUUACCAGGACUUGCCUGUUUUCUUUUGGACCGCCACCCAGGCCCAAAGGGAUCAUGAGAUUUUUCAUACUAGAAACUUCCGUGUGCAGCCACAAGCCAUUAUGGGCUCUGGCAUAGUUGACUAAGUUGUGCGAACUCUUACAGUGGUAGACUAGCAGAUGUAGGGGAAAGUAGGUGUACCGGUCUACCCGUCGUAAGGUGCUAGCGCUUCUGAAAGACUGUGUCUCGGUCAUCCGUUUCUCAAACACCUUGUAGUGCGAGAAACCAAACGGAGGUGAUCGAGUCUUGUGGGGAAAAGUGCGCAAACCUCUGCAGAGUGUAACAAACUAAUCAUGGUUAGCCGUGUCCCUGAUUAUGGACAUCUUGAGUAUCUAUUACCUGGAUUAUCAUGUGAAUCUCAACAUGUUACUCUAAAAUUAAUUUUGUGGGAUUUUAAUGAUGUUACUUAAUUGGGAUUGAGGAUGCUGUCAACCAUUCUCAAUGUUUAACAACCACCAUGAUAGUAAUUAAUUUUAUUCCUUUGAAGUAGGGAAAAAUUGGCUUUACGCAAAAACUGUAACCAUAGAGCUUUCCACCAGCCAAAUAUGCAUAUAGUAUAGUUGUUGCAUUCCAUUACUCUCUAUGUGUUACCUUGCCAGCAUAUUCCAUGUGCUGACCCGUUUCGGGCUGCAACGUUAAUGUUGCAGACUUUUCAGAUGACGAUUGAGGAAUUUUAGGUCGUGGUUCUAUACUCAGUGAUGCCGUUGGAGUUGAUGGACUCACUUAUCUUCCAAGCCUUCCGCUGUUAUCGUUAUUAGAUGGCCUUAAGCCAUAUUUAUUGUAAUAAGUUCUCUUUUGAGACACUCGAUGUAAUAAGUGUGUGAUUGCUACUCUGCUAUAAAUCCUCCGAGUACUGUGUGGUGUCAGCAUUACUGAUCCAAGGAUGACAUCGGAGCACAGAGAUCAGACUGUUUAAGGUCUGGUCGCUACAUAUUCCAGUUGCAAUUGCUUGACCAUCUCAAUUUCCGAGUCACGGCUGGAAUGCACAGGACUGAGAUAGCCGGACAGCAUGUCACUAACAUUCAGAUGAGCAUAGUGAGAGAUAUCAAAUUGUACUUUCUGUCUUUCCAAGGCCUCCUGUUUAGCAGAAUGCCUGGCCAGCACAGUCGGAUUACCCGGCGCAACAAAUCUGCUGCCAGUGAUCAAAACGUCAUGGUCAGAAGAUGCUGGCAGGUUAGCUGAACCGGACGGUCUGACGGUGGAUGGAUCGACAAUGGUUUCGUCAGCUGACGGCUCAGGAGGGUCCAAUUGAGCAUGGACAGCUAAAUCUUCUGGCGCUUCAGAUUGAGUGGGAGGAGUUGAUGUUGCCAGUUCAGGUGCAGGAUUUUUUGGGUCCUCUGCCGGUUUAAUCACCUUGGCUUUCUUGGACUUUGCUUGACCGCUAAGAAAGAUUUUUAUGAAAUAGUUAGUAUAAUGAUGCAGUUUUAAAAAUGUAGAGGAAAGAUGAUUUUCCUUACCCAUGGGCAGUCUUGAAAGCCGGAAAUUGAGUUUGGGAUGAGUCGCCAGAAGAGCGAGAGACCUCCUGCAAAGGUAAAAUAAAGUUAAGAAUAUAAGGAAAUAAAUUCAUGGAUAAAAACAAAGGACAAAGGUGAAAGAAACCUCAUUCUGGCGUUUUUGAGGAGUUUUUUCUAAGUCGAAAGGUGGUUCAUCAUCAUCAUUAGUCCGGGCCAGAUGGCGGCUCUCAUGUUGCUGCUUUUUCAAAAGAAAAUGAGGGUCCAAAUAAGCCAAAGGGUGCAAAAACCUUACUUUCCGGGUUACCAGUCGAAGUUUCUGUCUCGGCAAAGGGGCUGAGUCGUAGGAAAUAGUUACCUCUUCUUCCGCGGCCUGGCUGGCCCCCGUGUCAUCCUGGCAAUAGUCAGUGUCAAUAAGAUAGUUGAAAAUUUGGCCAAGGGAGAAAGGGCUACCUCCGACUCAGAAACAUCAUCAAGCUGGAAGAUGUCAGAUGCAGUCUUCUUCUUGGGCUUCCGGGUCGUUCUCUUGGCGGCUACGGCAGCGGAUCUAGCCUUCUUGGUAGCUUCAUGAUCAUACUUGGCCUUCCAGAAGUCAGAUUUGUCCUGUAAACAAAUAAAGAGGUUAAAAGGUCAUGCAAGUAUUUAAACUACUGAGGUAAACACAAAAAGAGAAAAAGGUCAAGAAGUUACCUCUGGUGUCGGGUUAAGUUUGCAGAAGGGGUUUAAUCCAACCUUGCUGUAGUCCUCGUAUUUGCCAUUCACGAGGAUGGUAGACAUUGCAACAAUGUCUUCUUCAGUUAAUUGUACAGAGCUAUAACGCAGAGAAUCAUUUGGGCCUCCGCCAUACUUAUACAUCAACUUGGAUCGGCGGCUUAGAGGGAUGACCCGCCAUGAGAUCCAGCAAUGGAUCAGGUCAACUCCGGUUAAGCCAUUUCCCAAUAAAGCUUGAAUCCUUUUGACAGAUGGGAUAAGCUUCUUGCGUUCAGCAGUAGUAAGCUUGUCAGGGAGCACAAACUUGGAAUCAAGACGCUCUUCACGAUAACCCGGCAGUGGUUUUUCAUCAGCCGGUGAUGUAUCUUGGCAGUAGAACCAGGUUUGCUUCCAGUCUUUGGGAUGGCUCGGUAAGACCACUAAAGGAAAAACGGCACCUUGUCAGCGUUGAAUUGAAAUUCUGCCAAGUUCCAAGCUAAGGCCGUUGGUGCACUCAUUCUGGCGGUUCAAGUAAAAGUACUCUCUAAAGAGCUCCACAGUUGGUUCUUCUUGAAGAUAUACCUCACAAAGAACUUGAAAAUUGCAGAUGUUGGAUAUAGGGUUGGGUCCAAUAUCUUGUGGAUGAAGCUUGAAAAAAUGCAGGACAUCUUGGACGAACUUUGAGCCGGGUGGUGAGAAGCCCCGGUUCAUGUGAUCUGUGAAAACGAUAACUUCGCCGUCUUUGGACUAAGGUCGUUCUUCGUCCGGGUCAGGAGCACGAUAAGACAUAACGCUUUUCUCUGGCAAAAAUCCAAUGGUGACAAAUUAUUUCAAGGUAUCUUCAGUAACUGUGGAAGGCACCCGGUUGCAGACAGUUGGCGCUUUUGACGGCAUGAUGAAGAAAGGGCAAGCUGAAAAGAAAGUAAUUUGCCGGUUCAAUUUAUUGGUGGAGUUACAGGUUCAUGAUUAUAGUACAGAUGAGUAAUGGCGGCUUAAGUAAGGGCUAAUGACAUGUAAAGGAAAAAUAAGCCGGAGUCAUAAGCCGCCAUGACUAAAAAGUAUUUGAAGGUUGCCAGAAUCAAAAUUGACUAAAGUGUUGAGACAAACAGGUUUCCCAAGUUGUGGCUAUUAUUAUGGAUCAAAAUGGUUCAGAAAAUAAAAAUAAAGUUAGACCUAGAAAACGAGCACAGAGGAGUUUGUCAGCUCUAAAGAGGCAUUUAUACAGGAGAAGGGGAUCUGUUAGCUUCAAAAAUGGAUGAGAAAUAGCUACCUCAUAAGUUUUGUACUACUUUUAGAUCAAAAGAGGGUGCGGUAAGAGAAGUUGCAACGAAUCUAUGACGAACAACGAAGAACACAAGAAGGAAACCUCCCGAACCCUAAUGCAGAUCUAUGGGGGUGAGAAGGUGAGAGCUUACAGGUGCGGAGCUGCUGCGGAGGAUCGCCACCGUUCUCUGGAUAGACUCAGGGUGAUGCUGCGGCCAGAGUUGAGGACGACGGUGCGCUACGGUGGCGACGGAGCUCGAGCGGCAAAGAAGGUGCGAGAGGAAGAAGAAAGAGGAAGGACUGGCCGAGCCUAUUUAUAAGGGGGUAAGUGAACGGGCAGACGCAAAAAUUGAGGAAGACCAAAGUAAUGAUUAUCCAGCUAAAUGGACGCCUCGAUCUUCGGAAAACAUUUAAGAUAAGGAUCCGUUGAAGAUGAAAUCGUGGUGUUUUUCCAAAUUUUUUCAAUCCUAAUGGUUGGUUAAUAAAAUAAGCUCAGUGAAUAUACAAGGCGAUAGUUUAUUAUAAGACUUGUAGUAGGCCCAAGCCCAAAGGCGGUUUAAGGCCCAUAAUUGUAAACCGCCAUGUAUAAGAAAGACUUGUAAAGAAAGGCAUGUAAGAGAAGUCACCGAGCCGAACACGUUAUAUGAGCCGGCCGGGACUCUGUAGGCUGCCAGGCGUCAACCCAUGUAUAUAAGGGGAUGACCCGGUGGCUGCUUAGGACAAGUAACAUCAAAUCAAGAGCCAUGCAUAGCGUAUUUGCUCCCUGAUCAUCGAAACCUAGCAAUAUCACAUCAACUGGACUAGGCUUUACCUUCACCGUAAGGGGCCGAACCAGUAUAAACCUUUCGUGUCCUUUGUCCCGAUUAACCCCUUUAAGCUUCCUAGUUGCGAUGGCUCCACGGCUAAGUCCUUUCACUAGGACAUCAUCCGUGACAAUUCCACGACAACUCUGGUGCGGAUCUUACUAUGGUUGACCUACGAGGUUCAGCGGUAACUUGAUCUGAAGUUUCAUGAUCAUCAUCAUUAGCUUCCUCACUAAUUGGUGUAGGAAUCACUGGAACUAAUUUCUGUGAUGAACUACUUACCAAUUCGGGAGCAGGUACAAUUGCCUCAUCAAGUUCUACUUUCCUCCCACUCACUUCUUUCGAGAGAAAGUCCUUCUCUAGAAAGGAUCCUUUCUUAGCAACGAAUAUAUUGCCUUCGGAUCUGUGAUAGAAGGUGUACCCAACAGUCUCCUUUGGGUAUCCUAUGAAGACACAUUUCUAUGAUUUGGGUUCGAGCUUAUCAGGUUGAAGCUUUUUCACAUAAGCAUCACAGCCCCAAACUUUAAGAAACGACAACUUAGGUUUCUUGCCAAACCACAGUUCAUAUGGUAUCAUCUCAACGGAUUUAGAUGGUGCCCUAUUUAAAGUGAAUGCAGUCUGAAAGUGCGUUAUAUCGACUAGAGGGGGGGUGAAUAGGCGAUUUUUAUGAAAGUCUUCAAAACAUGGAAGUUUCGAAGACAAACGAUAGAAAUAAACCUAUUACCAUGCAGUGGAAGUUAGACUACACUAGAUAAACCGUAGUCAUGUAUUCAAUGAAGUGAAAGGACAAUGACUAAUAGUAGCUAGGUAGUAAGGAUCAGGCAGGAAGAUAUUAAGAAGCCAAACGGAUCACACAGUCACUCAGUGAAGACAAAAGAUAGAGAAAACAUACAAUGACUUCACACAGAGUAACAGUAAGUAAAGAGAAGGGAAGGAUGAAACCAGUGACUCGUUGAAGACAAAGAUUUGUUGGACCAGUUCCAGUUGCUGUGACAACUGUACGUCUGGUUAGGGCGGCUAGGUAUUUAAACCAAAGGACACACAGUCCCGGACACCCAGUCCUGAACACGCAGCUCAGGACAUCCAGUCCUCACCGUAUUCCCCUUGAGCUAAGGUCACACAGACCUCGCCCAAUCACUCUGGUAAGUCUUCAAGGUAGACUCCCAAACCUUCACAGACUUCGUUCACCGGCAAUCCACAAUGUCUCUUGGAUGCUCAGAACGCGAUGCCUAACCAGCUGGAGGAUGCACAGUCCUCAAGUGUAAUAAGUCUUCAGAUCACUCAGACAAGAAGACUUAAGUGAUGCCUAAUUCUCUUUCGCUCUGGGUGGUUAGGGCUUUAUCCUCGCAAGGAAUUCUCUCUCAAAGGCUUCGAGGUGGGUUGCUCUCAAACGACAAAAGCCGUACUUUGAAUCUGAGUAGCCAACCGUUUAUGGUUGUAGGGGGUGGGCUAUUUAUAGCCACUAGGCAACCCGACCUGAUUUGUCCGAAAUGACCCUGGGUCACUAAGGAACUAACAUGUGUUCCAACGGUCAAAUUUCAAACUCACACGGAAACUUUACUUGGGCUACAAGCAAAGCUGACUUGUCCGACUCUGGACAAGAUUUUCUCUCAUAGUCUUCACUCGAAGACAUAGGUUUUUGUUUAAGCAUCACUUUAGUCAUUCUGACUGGCUCUCUUGGACCCCACUUAACAGUAUGUUGGUUCCUAUGACUCAACACAGAAGAAAAAGAACUACGAAAAAUCUAAGUGUUCAAGCUCCAUAGGCUUCAUGCGGUGUCUUCUCUUGUCAUAGUCUUCAAUGUGAAUAUCUUCAUAUACCACCUUUGACAUCAAUGUCUUCAUACACUUUUAGGGGUCAUCUCUGGUGGGAAAACCGAAUCAAUGAGGUACUUCUACCUGUGUUAUCCUGCAAUUCUCACAAACACAUUAGUCCCUCAACUAGGUUUGUCGUCAAUACUCCAAAACCAACUAGGGGUGGCACUAGAUGCACUUACAAUCUCCCCCCUUUUGGUGAUUGAUGACAAACUAGUUGAAGUUUUCAACGGGGAAUAUAAUGUGUGAAAUUGUAAAGGAUAAGGAAUUGUCUUCAUAAGUUACAAGGGCUCCCCCUGAAGAUGUGCAUAUAAGUAAUUUGCUUUUGGAAUGCAAAUGCACAUGGCAGGUUGUGCUUGUGGAGAUCCACUUCAACUUAUGAUGACAAUCCACUAUGCAUGUGAAAGUAUGUGAAGAUAAUGACAUGCAUAAUGGAAAAUGGAUGUCUGCAGAAUGAUCUAAGUGCGGAAUCUAUCAUCGCACAUGCGGAAUUUAUCAUCACAACACAAGGUAGCAAAUAGGUAGCAGACGACCAUCAAGUUUAAGUGUUACAACUCAAAGAACCAAAUGUUUCAAAACGAGAGUUGUAAGCACGAAGCAAAAUAUAAAACACCCGCCCAUAUGGACCCAUUUGAAGACUAUCAAACUCAUAUGCUUCUCCCCCUUUUGACAGUAAGGACCAAAAAGGUUUGAAGACAUAGAGCCUCUACUCGUUCCCAUGAGGAGUAGGUGAAGCAGCAGGAUCGUUGAUGGUGUUUGGCAGUGCAGACGAGCUUGGAGCAGUGUCGACGUGUGCUGAAGGAGGCGGCGAAGAAGUAGCAUCGUCUUCAUCCUCGAUCACUCUGGCAUUCACGGUUGCAGUAGAGGAAGAGAACUCAGGGUCUUCAAGUGAUGGAGUUCGUCGCAGCACAGCCCUGCGAGGAGGUGUGGAGUCAAACUUGAAGCGCUCAGUGAAGCCAUCCUCUUGCAGAUCAUCUUCAGAACACAGCAGCGUCAGCCCUUUCCAUGUGCGUCGAGAUGUUUCAUGAGCAACAAAGGCGUUCUUGGUGGCAAGAUUGUGAAUGCGAUUAACAUCCACCAAGAGGCUUUGCAUUUGACGCUUUAGCCAGUCAUGAUGCCUAUCCUGUUUCUGAUGAAGGGCCACCAGAAGCUCUCGGUCAUUGAGGACACGAGUGCGCUUCUUGGGUCGUUGAGCAAUGGUGCUAUCAGUGGCUUCAGUAAGAGCAGGAUGCGGGGCACGGGUAGUGCCAGCCAAAGGAUACACACGUGUUACUGCUUCAAUGCCUUCAACGUUCCGAGAGAAACUUUGAUGCUCUGCAUUCUGAAGACUUAGAGGUUCCUUGGCAGGCUCAGGAUAUAUGGCUUCAAUAGACAUAUCCACAUCAGGCAAAAAGAUCCGAUGAUUGCGGGCAGAUGGCUGAUAUGAGAUAGCAGAGUGAAGUUUGAUCAGCCGCAUCACCCAAGGGGCGUAGAACUUCAACCCAAAUAGAUCAGAGCCAGAUGCAGCAAGUUGGCGAAUGAAGAAAUCCUAUGUAUUGAAGCAUUUUCCAUGAAGAAUAUAGAAGACCAAAGUCUUCAUUGCACCUUCCAGCUGGGCAUGGGGAGAAUGUCCUUUGAUUGGCCAGAGAGUUCGCCUUAUGAUAUGAUAAAUGGUCCUUGGCAGAUACUCAAGGUCUUCAACAAAGAACUCCGUGGGAUAAGCAGCAUCUUGGGGCAAUGGCUUCAUCAUACUGAGCAUCUGACUCAUAUUGGGUUCAGUCUUCUGAAAGAUGCUCUCAACAGCUUCAAUGUGAAGCUGACAGCCAUGCUCAUAGAGAUCGCCAGGAGUGGGCAAGCCAGUGAGCUCAAUGAUGUCAAAGACUUUGGCUUCGUGAUGAACAUUUCCAGUCAUCCACUCUAGGACCCAAGUCUUUGGAUCUCUGUUAUACCCGCGGAUGUGAAGUGUGGCAUAGAACUGGAGCAGCAACUCUUCAUUCCAAUGCUCUUGGUCAGUGACGAAUGGUAGCAGCCCAACUUCAUUGAAGCAAUCCAAAGCUUCUUCCAGACAGGCAGACCAGCUAUAGCUUCAAUGUCAAGGCGCUUGUGUGGGAAGAUGCGACCUUUGUUGUAAAGAAUGCAUGAGUAAUAGCUUCGCUGCUGAUAGCUCCAGAACCGAUCAGAUGAUAUUCUUUCCCUGGAGUAGGGGUUCCUGGAGCUAUUGAAGAAUGUGUUGUCUGCUCUGAAGCCAUUGAUGUUAAAGGAGCCAGGUGCUAAUGCAGGACCUGGGAACCUGGGCAAUCUUGGGAUUGGCUUCUGGACCUGAGGCCUGUGCUCAACAUGAUAGUCGAAUUGGGGACCGGCAGCAGACGCAGGAACAGGAGCAGCAGGAUUAGUGGCUUCGCUGACUUCUGGUGCUGUUGGGGGUGAGGGCUCCACAUUAGCUUCAGCCAUGACGGUGUCAGUGGCUUCAGUGGUGUUGGUGGUGGCAGCCUCUAGAUUUUCAACCUCCACUUGACGAGCUGGAGGGUCGGUCAUGAUCACGUUCUCCUCGAGAACCGCUUCUUGGUGGGGCAGGGGAGUAGCAGCUUGUGGAACUUCUUCUUCCGUGGCUGAUGCAGCUAGAUUGUCUUCAGCAGAGACUUGAGGCCUUGGACCUUUGUGAAGCCUGCGCAACGCGGGCGAUGCCUGUGGAGCUGGAGUGGGCUGGGCCUCAUAGUCUUCUUCCUCUUGUUGGCGAUCCGCCCAUGAAGCAUCCUGUGCCAUUGGCGUCAGUGGACGACCAAUGCUGAUGAGUUCGUUGUUUUCAAGCUGAGGAAGAACUGCACCAUCUUCUACAUGGUCAUGUUGACCAAUGUCUUCAGCAGUGAUGGGAUCAGCUGUUGGAAAGUCUUUAGCUUUAUGAGCCUCUGUGGAAGCAGGCUCAUGGAUUGUCAGUUGGCGUUCAGCUUCAGGAUAGACCAUUGAAAUAGGUUCAACUAUCAAAGGCUCUGUGGGAGCAGCCUGUUCCUUCUUGGUCUUUCGUUUCUUCUUGGAGGGGGCAGUAGGAGAGGCUUCAGGAUGUUUCCUCUUCCUGGCUUCAGCCUCAGCAGUCCUUGUCUUCUUGAGCUCUGAAGCGGUUGACCGGCUUUUUGGCUUCAAGCCAGUCAGUCUAGUUGGGAAGACAAUCGGAACUGCUUCCUGCCUUGGUGCGUCGGAUUCAGCCGUAGCAGUCUUCUUCUUCUUCUUUGCGGCCAUCCUAGGGUCAAUGCCAGGACGCCCAAGGGCCUUGCGCUUCUCAGCCUCAUUGUAGGCUUGCACACAUCUGUCAGCCAGAGCCUUCAUGCGCUCACGUGAAUCCCGAGCUUCUGCACAUUUCUUCAGAAAGGCUUCCUUGAGCUCGUGCAUCAUGAUCUUGAAGUUCUUCACUUCUUGCACACUGAGCUUGGCCAUAUGCUUCUUGAACUGAGCCUUUUCAUAGUCAAUCUUCUGCUUUAGUUCAACAACGUGUCGGGCGAUGGCUAGCUCUGAAGCAAUGGCGCCUUGGAAGGCGACACUGAGGCCAAUGGGUAGCUGCAGAUCAUCAAAGCUGAUGUUUGGCAUAUCAAACCACUCGUCAAUGAAGUUGUGGAUGAUGGUUACAUCAAAGAGAGGCAGAUCAUUGAAGAUUUCGGCUUCUUCUUUGCUCUUGAUGAGUUGCUCAAGAGCGUCAUCUGCAAGAUCUUCAUCACUUGACAGAUCAAUGUCAUCAUUGCGCAGAAUGGCAGCAGCUGUUAGCUCUUGGCCGGUGUGUGGCAGAGGCAUCUUGGCCUUCUAGGGCUUGGAGAUGCGUGAUAAAUCUUCGGACUGCACACUGUCUUCAGGAGAUGCAGUUGCCAGUGGCUUCGCCCUUGAGAUUUUUGGUGAAGGGGCAGGCUUUGAAGCUUUGGGCUUCUUCAACUUCUUUGGUGUUGGCGCUGCAGGCGCUUCAUCUGAUUCAGCGUUAGCUGCAGGCUCAUUCACGGUUGUCCCUUGAACCAAGAUAUGGGUGAUGAGUCCUGCAAGGUUGUAGAAAGGACCGACGACAUUGGGUUCCGCAUCGCGUGUGCCGUCAGCCCUUGGAGCAGAAGGACCAGGGUUGAAGUCUAAUCCAAAAGACUUCUUGUUCUGCUUUGCUGAGUUCUUGGCAAACUGGAAGUUGCGCUUGAAUAGAUUGUCGUCACGGCACCAUAGUAGUGACGAUGGGUGUGCAUCUGCAGGCUGUGGCCCACGCACCAUGCAGGGAUAGAAGCCUUGUUCAAUGGCUUCUUCUCUGGACCUGGGUUGAAGAUUCUUGUAUAGGAUGUCUCCCCAUGGUCUCUUGAUGGCAUUUCUCUCAGCAUAUUCCUGGGUCACAAACCGGUAUUUGAACCAUUGUUCUGCCCAAUAUCUUCGAAUCCAUUGGAUUCGGGUCUUGCGCUGAUUAUAAUCCUGUUCAGGAUCUGUCUUGUAAAGCUCUGAGAGGUCAUCAGGAAAAUCUCUUGAUGUCCCCCCACGACGCUGUCUGCCACCCUUCCUUACUGAUUUCUCUGCAGCCAUGAACUUCAAACUGAAAGGCUUCAAAACGUUCAAAGGCUUCAAAGGUUUUCGCUUGCUGGACAAACAGGAACUGGCUUCGGGAGAAUUUAUAUGAUGCUGUAAGAAUUCUGCAAAUGAAUGCAGACUAUGAGAACCAAGGGAUUCUCCCAUGGACAUGUACCUGUGACAACAUUAAGGUGCAAGGGAAGGGGAAGAGGUCAUAUGCAUUCUCAGGAGAUUUUGAAGAUAAAUCAGUUUAGAAGACAUUGACCUCAUCGUGCGAAGACAUUCACUCAUAGAUAAGGAGUUGGUUCCAGAUUUGUACGAAUCCAGUGAUCAGUACAAGUGAGGAAUCUAACUACUUGUGAAGCAUAAGUGAAUAUACUAGGCAUGUUAUGAGAUGCAGUAGGAAAGAGAUCCAACUUGUGUGAAUAGAAACUUCUUAUGGUAGAAAGUGACAAAGCCAUAGGAUCAAAAGGGGCCGUAAAAAGAAGUUUUAUUUACCACACUUGGAACUGCUAGAUGGAGUGGAAGAGGAGGCCGAGCAGUUCGAUCUUCUGUGCCCUAACUUGGCGACGAAGGACACCUACGGCGACGGCGGAGAGGACGAUGUCCGCGGUCGGUGUGAAGACGGCGUCGGAGAGGUUGCGGCAGUGAAGCGCUUCGUCGCCGGCGUCGUCGAGGGCUAGCAGUGGCACUAGGGUUCGUGCGAGGGUGGAAGAAGAGAUGAUGACCGCUGUGAAGGGUGUAUUUAUAGGUACAGGGGCGGCACUGCGUUAUUACACAGGUGCCCCUGGCGAUUCACAUCUGAGGAACACGUGGCCAUCAUGCAGUAUAUUGGGGUUUGUUCCACGUCUCACGCACGCCUAGAUUGUCGGGUGGUCGUUCCUACUUCUCCGGGUUUCAUGUGGAGGAAUGGGCAUUGAAAACGGACUUAAUGUUUGUCUCUGUAUGUUCUGCUGACAAGGACGCAGAGAAGACAUUCGACAGUUUCAAUAGAAUGCAUAUGAUUUGGAGAGAUAGAGUUUGAGAUAGAGAGCACAGAGAGGUUAGGGUCCGAUCACAUUCACUUAGAUCAAAAGAUUCAACAAGAAGACAUAGCUAUAAGUGAAUACUGUAGAGGACAGAACACUAGUAUAUAUAUAUAUAUAUAAUCAACAUAGUGAAGAUAAUCAUGAAAACAUGUUGAGAUUGAAACCAAACCAAAUGUGAAGUCAUAGCAAGGUAAUGCCAUGAGUGAAACACUUCAAAUAGAACAUUUGGUGGUGGCGUUACCCACCGUAUAGGAAGUAUUAGACCCAGACACGGCGCACAAUUAUCGUGGCGCUCCGAAGUCAAAUUCCACAUUAAUGUAUUCACACUUAGAAUGUAUGUCUUCAUUGAUUGAAGAUAUACUUUACUUCGUGUGUUGCACAUCUAAGUCAUCAAUAUGCAUAAGGGUUAGGAUGUGUGCCUGAUCACAGGACAUUUGAGGAUUCCAGGAUAUUUAGCUCACAUCGUAACUUGCAAAAUCUCUUCUCAUCCAAGGGCUUGGUGAAGAUAUCUGCCAAUUGCUCUUCAGUGUUGACGUGUAUGAUAUCAAUAUCUUCCUUCACAACAUGAUCUCUGAGAAAGUGAUGACGAAUUUCAAUGUGCUUUGUCUUCGAGUGCUGAACAGGGUUGUUGGCAAUCUUGAUGGCGCUUUCGUUGUCACAGUAGAGUGGCACUUGCUUCAGAUGAAUGCCAUAGUCCUUGAGGGUUUGCUUCAUCCACAGAAGCUGAGCGCAGCAAGAUCCAGCAGCAAUGUAUUCAGAUUCAGCAGUGGAGAGAGAUACACAGUUCUGCUUCUUUGAAGACCAACAUACAGGUGAUCGUCCCAGAAAAUGACAUGUGCCUGAUGUAGACUUGCGAUCCACCUUGUCACCAGCAUAAUCAGCAUCCGAGAAUCCAACCAGAUCAAACUCUGAGCCCUUUGGAUACCAUAAUCCUAGAGUUGGGGUGUGAGCCAAAUAUCGAAGAAUUCGCUUCACAGCUAGGUGAUGCGACUCCUUUGGUGCCGCUUGAAAUCGAGCACACAUGCAAACACUAAGCAUAAUAUCUGGCCUAGAUGCACAUAGAUAAAGCAAAGAACCAAUCAUGGAGCGGUAUACCUUUUGAUCGAACUCUUUACCAUUGUCGUCAGGACCCAGAUGAUGCUUGGCUGGUAUUGGCGUCGUGAACCCUUUGCAGUCUUGCAUACCGAACUUCUUAAGGCAAUCCUUGAGAUGCUUCUCUUGAGAUAUGAAGAUGCCGUUGCGUUGCUGUCGUAUUUGAAUACCGAGGAAAAACUUCAGCUCUCCAUCAUGGACAUCUGAUAUUGCUCUUGCAUCAUAUAUCCAAACUCUUCACUGUACUUCUGAUUGGUGCAGCCGAAGAUAAUGUCAUCCACAUAUAUUUGGCACACAAACAGUUAACCAUCAUAUGUCUUCGUGAAGAGAGUGGGGUCGAGGGAACCAGGUAUGAAGCCUUUGCUCUUCAGGAAGUAUUUGAGUGUGUCAUACCAGGCCCGAGGGGCUUGUUUGAGGCCAUAUAGUGCCUUGUUGAGCUUGUAUACCGUAUCAGGAUGUUUUAGAUCUUCAGAGCCAGGUGGUUGUGCAACAUACACUUCUUCUUCAAUCUUUCCAUUGAGAAAGGCGCUCUUCACAUCCAUUUGAUAAAGAAGUAUGUUGUGAUGAUUUGCAUAGGCCAGCAGUAUGCGUAUGGCUUCAAGUCUAGCCACAGGAGCAAAUGUUUCAUUGAAGUCAAUGCCUUCCACUUGAGUAUAUCCUUGAGCAACUAGACGAGCUUUGUUUCUGACAACUUGACCAUGCUCAUCUUGCUUGUUGCGGUAUAUCCAUUUUGUGCCUAUUAUGUUGUGCUUCCGAGGAUCAGGACGCUUAACCAGUUCCCAUACAUUAUUCAGCUCAAACCGUUGAAGCUCUUCUUGCAUAGCUUGAAUCCAUUCAGGUUCCAUGAAGGCUUCUUCCACUUUCUUGGGUUCUGUUAUUGAGACGAAUGCGAAGUGCCCACAGAAAUUUGCCAGCUGGGUUGCCCUUGAUCGACUGAGCGGACCAGGUGCAUUGAUGCUGUCAAUUAUUCUCUCAAUUUGCACUUCAUUGGCAACACGAGGAUGUACAGGGCGAAGACUUUGCUCUUGCUGAUCAUUGUCGUUGUUGGAGGGAUUGUCUUCAGGUUGAGCAUUGUCUUCAGGUUGAUCUGGUGCAGAGAUGAUGAGUUCCUCUUCAGGAUGAGCUUUAGAAGGUAUGAUUUCUCCAGUUCCCAUUAGCUUGAUUGAUUCACUGGAUGGAACUUCAUCUAGCACAUUUGGCAGGUGCUCUCUUUGUGAACCGUUAGUCUCAUCGAACCGCACAUCCACGGUUUCAACCACUUUAUAAUGAAAGAGGUUGAAGACUCUGUAGGAGUGCGAAUCCUUUCCAUAUCCAAGCAUAAAACCCUCAUGUGCUUUUGGGGCAAACUUUGAAGUGUGAUGUGGGUCCUUGAUCCAGCACCUUGCGCCAAAUACUCUGAAGUAACUGGCAUUUGGCUUCUUGCCAGUGAGGAGCUCAUACGAUGUCUUGUUCAGAAGCUUGUGAAGAUAAACACGAUUGAUUGUAUGGCAUGCAGUAUCAAUGGCUUCAGGCCAGAAUUUUCUUGGAGUCUUGUAUUCAUCUAGCAUUGUUCUGGCCAUCUCAAUGAGUGUUCUGUUCUUGCAUUCGACGACGCCAUUCUGCUGUGGCGUGUACGGGGCUGAGAAUUCAUGUGUGAUGCCCAAGGUAUCAAGAUAUGUAUCAAGGCCAGUGUUCUUGAAUUCAGUGCCAUUGUCACUUUUGAUGUGCUUUAUCUUGGCACCAUAGUUGUUCAUUGCUCGAUUGGCGAAGCGUUUGAAGACAUCCUGCACUUCAGUCUUGUAAAGGAUUAUAUGCACCCAAGUGUAUCUAGAAUAAUCAUCAAUAAUGAAGAAGCCAUAGAGACAAGCAGUAGUAGUAAGAGUUGAGUAAUGAGUGGGACCGAAAAGAUCCAUGUGAAGCAGCUCGAAGGGUCGAGUAGUAGUCAUGAUUGUCUUCGAGGGAUGCUUGGCCCUCGUCAUCUUUCCUGCUUCACAGGCACCGCAUAAGUGAUCUUUCUUGAACUUGACGCCCUCAAUGCCUAUGACAUGCUUCUUCUUUGCCAGGGUGUGGAGGUUCCUCAUGCCAGCAUGCCCAAGCCUCCGAUGCCAGAGCCAGCAUUCUGAAGCUUUUGCUAGAAGACAUACGGCAAGUUGUGGUCCUGCUGAGAAAUCUACCACGUACAGAUCGUCUUUCCGAUACCCUUCAAACACUAGAGACUUGUCAGAUUCCAUUAGAACAAGGCAACAAUAUUUUCCAAAUAUUACGAUCAUGUUCAAAUCGCAUAGCAUUGAGACAGACAUUAAGUUGAAGCCAAGGGAUUCAACAAGCAUGACUUUAUCCAUGUGUUGAUCCUUUGAGAUUGCAACUCUACCUAGACCCAAUACCUUACUUUUACCAGUGUCAGCAAAUGUGAUGUGGCUCUUGUCGGAAGGACGUAAGGUUGAGUCCAUCAGAAGGCUUCUUUUGCCAGUCAUGUGAUUUGUACACCCACUAUCAGUAAUCCAUUCUGUAUACGCUGGUGUCGUACCCUACAGUGCAGUUAGGGGGAUAGGCUUCACGAAGAGAGUUGUGAAGCAAAAACAUUUGACGAACCAGUGGGUUAUGAAAGCUUAGAUCCAGAUUAGUACUGAUAGGGAGAGUAGCAAGCGAUUCAGGAACGAAGUACAUAGUAAGACCAUUCGGCAUUUGAUCUUGCGCCCUACAAGAUGUUUAAGGUCCCCAGCGAUAGCGUCAGAAGAUUUUGGUUUUCUGCUGGAGACCUUUCCCUGCAAAAGAGAGUUAAGCCUUCUUAACAACCCACAUCUUCAAGGGUGGCUUAGAAGCGAUAAGUCUAAGUGCAGAGUCUGAAAACUUUGGCUUUGGGGCUCUAGCAAAAAGUCUUGCAGGUGGACAAUAAUACUCAUAAGAAUAAGCAGAAUAGUUUUUGGUCUUAUGAACAUGGCGGUUCGAUGAACCGCGCUCAUAUUCAUAGGCCUGAGUAUGGUUUCCCUGCAAAACAUUUGCAUUAGUCCGACUCAGGUGAGUCCUCUGUCUGUAUGAAGCCUUUGGGCCAUAUGAAGCCUGUGGUCUGGGGUUUGUCUUCUUCAUCUAUGGUGUCAUGAUGACAUUCACAGGAAGAUUUUCCAAACACCUUUUGGGCACCCAGACCUUCUUCAUAGGCGGUCCAUUCCUGCAGUUAGUACCAAUGUACCUGGCAAAAACUUCACCAUUCUGAUUCUUAAAUAGUUUAUAGUUUGCAUCAAAGGAUUCAUCAAUGACAAUGGGGUUAGCACAAGUGAAGCCAGAUAGACUGGAUGGAUUUGCUGAAGGUUCCUUUGCAGCAACCCAUGUGGUUUUGGGAUACUGCUCGGGUUUCUAGUAAGAGCCAUCAGCAUUCAUUUUCCUUAUGAACCCAACACCCUCUUUCCUCGGGUUUCGGUUCAGAAUCUGCCUUUUGAGGACAUCACAUAGUGUCUGAUGCCCUUUAAGACUUUUGUACAUCCCUGUUUCAAGCAAUGUCUUCAACCUAGCAUUCUCAUCAGCAAUCGCAGUAGUAUCCUCAGUAGAGGGGUUAGUUACCACAUCAACAGUUGAAGAUAUUGCAACAGUAGCAGUAGUAGAACAUUCAGCAACAGAAGCAGCAUUAUCACGCUCAAUGCAUUUAAGACAUGGUGGUUCAAAUCCUUCCUGAGCGGAACUGAUCUGUUCGGCGCGAAGUGACUCGUUUUCCUUUUGAAGAUCUUCAUGAGCCGCUCUCAAUUUCUCAAGAUCUUGCUUCCUUUGAAGAUAAUCAUAGGAAAGCUUUUCAUGAGUUGUUGAGAGCGUUUCAUGACAACUUUCAAGUUCCUCAUAUUUAACGUGAAGAUUUUUUAUGUCUUGAAUUAAGGAUUCAGAUCGAGUCAUUUCAACGCCCAACAAAUCAUCGCUUUUGUCUAACAGUUUUUGAAUAUGUUCCAUGGCUUUCUGUUGUUCAGUUGCAAUUUUAGCAAGUGUUUUGUAGCUGGGUCUUGAAUCACAAUCAGAGUCAUCAUCACUAGAUGUUUGAUAGUGAGUAGUGCGUGUGUUUACCUUGGCACCGUGUGCCAUGAAGCAGUAGGUAGGAGCAGAGUCGUCCUUGUCAUUUGCAUCGGCGUCGGUGGUGAAGUCAUUGUCUUCAGUGUUGAAGAUGGACUUGGCAACGUAUGCUGUAGCCAGACUUGCAACACCAGAAUCGGACUCCUCCUCAGACUCCACCUCCGCCUCCUCAGACGCGGACUCCUCCUCUGAAUCCAUUUCCUUGCCAACAAACGCACGUGCCUUGCCAGAUGAGCUCUUCUUGUGUGAUGAAGACUUUGAGGAAGACUUGGAAGAAGACUUUGAGUAUUUCUUCUUCUUCUUGUCGUCAGAGUCAUAUUCCUUGCUCUUCUUCUUCUUUCUAUUCUCAUUGUCCCACUGCGGACACUCAGAGAUGAAGUGGCUAGUUUUCUUGCACUUGUGACAUGUUUUCUUCUUGUAGUCAUGAGCAGAAGCUUCAUCAUUCCUUGAGCUUGAUCGUGAAGACUUUCUGAAGCCUUUCUUCUUGGGGAAUCUUUGGAACUUCUUUACAAGCAUAGCAAGUUCCUUUCCAAUGUCUUCAGGAUCGUCAGAACUGCUGUCAGAUUCUUCUUCAGAUGAGGAGACAACUUUUGCCUUCAGGGCACGAGUUCGCCCAUAGUUUGGACCGUAGAUAUCUCUUUUCUCAGAAAGCUGAAACUCAUGUGUGUUGAGCCUCUCAAGUAUGUCGGACGGAUCGAGUAUCUUGAAAUCAGGUCGUUCUUGAAUCAUCAGGGCUAGGGUGUCAAACAAACUGUCAAGUGAUCUCAGUAGUGUCUUGACGACUUCAUGCUUGGUGAUCUCAGUGGCGCCGAGCGCUUGAAGCUCAUUUGUGAUGUCAGUGAGUCGGUCAAAUGUGAGCUGGACAUUCUCAUUGUCAUUUCGCUUGAAGCGGUUAAAGAGGUUGCGAAGAACGCUGAUUCUCUGAUCUCUCUGGGUUGAGACGCCUUCGUUGACCUUGGAGAGCUAGUCCCAGACCAGCUUCGAUGUUUCCAAAGUGCUCACACGGCCAUACUGUCCUUUGGUCAGAUGACCACAGAUAAUGUUCUUGGCAGUAGAGUCCAGUUGAACGAACUUCUUGACAUCAGCAACAGUGACACCUUCUCCAGCCUUGGGAACGCCGUUCUUGACGACAUACCAUAGGUCGACGUCAAUGGCUUCAAGAUGCAUGCGCAUCUUAUUCUUCCAGUAGGGAUAUUCAGUUCCAUCGAAGACGGGGCACGCAACGGAGACUUUAAUUAUCCCUGCAGUCGACAUAGCUAAAACUCCAGGUGGUUAAACCGAAUCACACAGAACAAGGGAGCACCUUGCUCUCAUACCAAUUGAAAGUGCAUUAUAUCGACUAGAGGGGGUGACUAGGCGAUUUUUAUGAAAGUCUUAAAAACAUGGAAGUUUCGAAGACAAAUGAUAGAAAUAAACCUAUUACCAUGCAGCGGAAGUUAGACUACACUAGAUAAACCAUAGUCAUGUAUUCAAUGAAGUGAAAGGACAAUGACUAAUAGUAGCUAGGUAGUAAGGAUCAGGCAGGAAGAUAUUAAGAAGCCAAACGGAUCACACAGUCACUCAGUGAAGACAAAAGAUAGAGCAAACAUACAAUGACUUCACACAGAGUAACAGUAAGUAAAGAGAAGGGAAGGAUGAAACCAGUGACUCGUUGAAGACAAAUAUUUGUUGGACCAGUUCCAGUUGCUGUGACAACUGUACGUCUGGUUAGGGCGGCUAGGUAUUUAAACCAAAGGACACAUAGUCCCGGACACCCAGUCCUGAACACGCAGCUCAGGACACCCAGUCCUCACAGUAUUCCCCUUGAGCUAAGGUCACACAGACCUCGCCCAAUCACUCUGGUAAGUCUUCAAGGUAGACUCCCAAACCUUCACAGACUUCGUUCACCGGCAAUCCACAAUGUCUCUUGGAUGCUAUAACGCGACGCCUAACUGGCUGGAGGAUGCACAGUCCUCAAGUGUAAUAAGUCUUCAUAUCACUCAGACAAGAAGACUUAAGUGAUGCCUAAUUCUCUUUGGCUCUGGGUGGUUAGGGCUUUAUCCUCGCAAGGAAUUCUCUCUCAAAGGCUUCGAGGUGGGUUGCUCUCAAACGACAAAAGCCGUACUCUGAAUCCGAGCAGCCAACCGUUUAUGGUUGUAGGGGGUGGGCUAUUUAUAGCCACUAGGCAACCCGACAUGAUUUGUCCGAAAUGACCCUGGGUCACUAAGGAACUGACACGUGUUCCAACGGUCAGAUUUCAAACUCACACGGCAACUUUACUUGGGCUACAAGCAAAGCUGACUUGUCCGACUCUGGACAAGAUUUGCUCUCAUAGUCUUCACUCGAAGACAUAGGUUUUUGUUUAAGCAUCACUUCAGUCAUUCUGACUGGUUCUCUUGGACCCCACUUAACAGUGCGGUGGUUCCUAUGACUCAACACAGAAGAAAAAGAACUACGAAAGAUCUAAGUCUUCGAGCUCCAUAGGCUUCAUGCAGUGUCUUCUCUUGUCAUAGUCUUCAAUGUGAAUAUCUUCAUAUACCACCUUUGACAUCAAUGUCUUCAUACAUUUUUAGGGGUCAUCUCUGGUGGGAAAACCAAAUCAAUGAGGUACUUCUACCUGUGUUAUCCUGCAAUUCUCAUAAACACAUUAGUCCCUCAACUAGGUUUGUCGUCAAUACUCCAAAACCAACUAGGGGUGGCACUAGAUGCACUUACACAGUCGUCUCUAAAGCAUAACCCCAAAAUGAUAGCAGUAAAUUAGUAAGAGACAUCAUAGAUCGCACCAUAUCUAAUAAAGUGCGGUUACGAUGUUCGGACACACCAUUAUGUUGUGGUGUUCCGUGUGGCGUGAGUUGCGAAACUGUUCUGCAUUGUUUCAAAUGAAGACCAAACACGUAACUCAAAUAUUCACCUCCACGAUCAGAUUGUAGAAACUUUAUUUUCUUGUUACGAUAUUUUUCCUCUUCACUCUGAAUUUUUUUGAACUUUUCAAAUGUUUCAGACUUAUGUUUCAUCAAGUAGAUAUACCCAUAUCUGCUCAAAUCAUCUGUGAAGGUCAGAAAAUAACAAUACCCGCCGCGAGCCUCAACACUCAUCGGACCGCAUACAUCCGUAUGUAUUAUUUCCAACAAGUCUAUUGCUCACUCCAUUGUUCCGGAGAAUGGAGUCUUAGUCAUCUUGCCCAUGAGGCAUGGUUCGCAAGCAUCAAGUGAUUCAUAAUCAAGUGAUUCCAAAAGUCCAUCAGCAUGGAGUUUCUUCAUGCGCUUUACACCAAUAUGACCUAAACGGCAGUGCCACAAAUAAGUUGCACUAUCAUUAUUAACCUUGCAUCUUUUGGCUUCAAUAUUAUGAAUAUGUGUGUCACUAUUGUCGAGAUUCAAUAAAAAUAGAUCACUCAUCAAGGGUGCAUGACCAUAAAAGAUAUUACUCAUAUAAAUAGAACAACCAUUAUUCUCUGAUUUAAAUGAAUAUCCGUCUCGCAUCAAACAAGAUCCAGAUAUAAUGUUCAUGCUUAACGUUGGCACCAAAUAACAAUUAUUCAGGUCUAAAACUAAUCCCGAUGGUAGAUGUAGAGGUAGCAUGCUGACGGCGAUCACAUCGACUUUGGAACCAUUUCCCACGCGCAUCGUCACCUCGUCCUUAGCCAAUCUUCGCUUAAUCCGUAGCCCAUGUUUCGAGUUGCAAAUAUGAGCAACAGAACCAGUAUCAAAUACCUAGGCGCUACUACGAGCAUUAGUAAGGUACACAUUAAUAACAUGUAUAUCAAAUAUACCUUUCACUUUGCCAUCCUUCUUAUCCAUCAAAUACUUGGGGUAGUUCCGCUUCCAAUGACCAGUCCCUUUGUAGUAGAAGCAUUCAGUCUCCGGCUUAGGUCCAGACUUGGGCUUCUUCACUUGAGCAACAACUUGCUUGUCAUUCUUCUUGAAGUUCCCCUUCUUCCCUUUGCCCUUUUUCUUGAUACUGGUGGUCUUGUUGACCAUCAACACUUGAUGCUCCUUCUUGAUUUCUACCUCUACAGCCUUUAGCAUUGCGAAGAGCUCGGGAAUUGUCUUAUCCAUCCCUUGCAUAUUAUAGUUCAUCAUGAAGCUUUUGUAGCUUGGUGGCAGUGAUUGAAGAACUCUGUCAAUGACACUAUCAUCAGGAAGAUUAACUCCUAGUUGAGUCAAGUGGUUGUGGUACCUGGACAUUUUGAGUAUAUGUUCACUAACAAAACUAUUCUCCUCCAUCUUACAGCUGUAGAACUUAUUGGAGACUUCAUAUCUCUCAAUCCGGGCAUUUGCUUGAAAAUUUUACUUCGACUCCUGGAACAUCUCAUAUGCUCCAUGAUGUUCAAAACGUUGUUGAAGUCCCGAUUCUAAGCCGUAAAGCAUGGCACACUAAACUAUCGAGUAGUCAUCGGCUUUGCUCUACCAGACGUUCAUAAUGUCCGGUGUUGCUUGAUACGUCUCCGUCGUAUCUACUUUUCCAAACACUUUUGUCCUUGUUUUGGACUCUAACUUGCAUGAUUUGAAUGGAACUAACCCGGACUGACGCUGUUUUCAGCAGAAUUACCAUGGUGUUAUUUAUGUGUAGAAAUAAAAGUUCUCGGAAUGACCUGAAACUUCAGGGAACGUCUUUUUGGAAAUAAUAAAAAAUCCUUGCAAAAGAUGAAGACCAGGGGGCCCACACCCUAGCCACGAGGGUGGGGGCGCGCCUGCCCCCCUAGGCGCGACCCCUACCUUGUGGGCCCCCUGGAGCUCCUCCGACCUCAACUCCAACUCUAUAUAUUUGCUUUCAGGGAGAAAAAAAUUAGAGAGAAGGAUUCAUCGCGUUUUACAAUACAGAGCCGCCGCCAAGCCCUAAAACCUCUCAGGAGGGCUGAUCUGGAGUCCGUUCGGGGCUCCGGAGAGGGGAAUCCGUCGCCAUCGUCAUCAUCAACCUUCCUCCAUCACCAAUUUCAUGAUGCUCACCGCCGUGCGUGAGUAAUUCCAUCAUAGGCUUGCUGGACGGUGAUGGGUUGGAUGAUAUUUAUCAUGUAAUCGAGUUAGUUUUGUUAGGGUUUGAUCCCUAGUAUCCACUAUGUUGUGAGAUUGAUGUUGCUAUGACUUUGCUAUGCUUAAUGCUUGUCACUAGGGCCCGAGUGCCAUGAUUUCAGAUCUGAACCUAUUAUGUUUUCAUCAAUAUAUGAGUGUUCUUGAUCCUAUCUUGCAAGUCUAUAGUCACCUACUAUGUGUUAUGAUCUGGCAACCCCGAGGUGACAAUAAUAGGGACCACUCCCGGUGAUGACCGUAGUUUGAGGAGUUCAUGUAUUCAUUAUGUGUUAAUGCUUUGGUCUGGUACUCUAUUAAAAGGAGGCCUUAAUAUCCCUUAGUUUCCGCUAGGACCCCGCUGCCACGGGAGGGUAGGACAAAAGAUGUCAUGCAAGUUCUUUUCCAUAAGCACGUAUGACUAUAUUCGAAAUACAUGCCUACAUUACAUUGAUGAAUUGGAGCUAGUUUUGUGUCACCCUAGGUUAUGACUGUUACAUGAUGAACCGCAUCCGGCGUAAUUCUCUAUCACCGAUCCAUUGCCUACGAGCUUUCCAUAUAUUGUUCUUCACUUAUUUACUUUUCCGUUGCUAUUGCUAUCAUCACUACAAAAUACCAAAAACAUUAAUUUUGCUAUCGUUACCUUUUGCUACCGUUACCACUACUAUCAUAUUACGUUGCUACUAAACACUUUACUACAGAUAUUAAGUUUCUAGGUGUGGUUGAAUUGACAACUCAACUUUCAACUGCUAAUACUUGAUAAUAUUCUUUGGCUCCCCUUGUGUCGAAUCAAUAAAUUUGGGUUGAAUACUCUACCCUCGAAAACUGUUGCGAUCCCCUAUACUUGUGGGUUAUCAAGACUAUUUUCUGGCGUCGUUGCCGGGGAGCAUAGCUCUAUUCUUUGAGUCACUUGGGAUUUAUAUCUGUUUAUCAUUAUGAAGAACUUGAGAGAUCCAAAAACCAAGAUUUAUCUCUCAACUACGAGGGGAGGUAAGGAACUGCCAUCUAGCUCUGCACUUGAUUCACCUUCUAUUUUGAGUAAGCUUGCGACACCUAAACCUGCUUCUGCUAUUCAUUCUGAUAUGUCGCAUGUUAUUAAUGAUGCCACUUGUGCUAUGCAUGAUACUUAUGAUGAAACUACUUCUAUGCUUGAUACUACUGUGCCACUUGGUGAAUUUCUUGAUGAACAACUUGCUAGGGUUAGAGAGAAUGAAAUUAUUGAAACUGAUAAUAUAUAUAUAUAUAUUUGAAUAUAUACUGUAGGGUAAAACCCCCACAGCCCUUUAUUGCAGUCUCAAAAAACAAACUGUACAGUGAAAGAAAGAGAUGACAAGCCUAAACGAAAAGUUAAGAAGAACUUACAAUUACAUGAGGGAGUUAACUCAAUCUACAAGCCUAGACUUAGAGCUAUCCUUAAACCUAUGUGACAGGAGAAGAAUGUCAUGUACAAAACUGCCCCUCCAGGCAACAAAAGUAGCCCGUAGUCCCCUGAAAGUUCUUCCAUUUCUCAGAAUCCAUAUAUUCCAAGCAGCUGUGAGCAUAACUUCAAAGAAGAAAGGAUACCCAAAUCGCUGCCUUGCUUGAGAUAUACAUUGCUGAAUAGAAGAACCAUGUGACCAAUCGAUCUGCAGGUAUUUCCAAACCCUGGCACUGAAAUUACAACCAAAGAAUAGGUGAGCCCUGUCCUCCCAAACAAAGGCAUUACAGAUGACACAUAGAUGAUCAGCCGUAGGGGACCUCCGGUGGCUGCGGACCAGCACGUCCUUUGUGUUGAGUCUGUCAAAGAAUAGGAGCCAGCCAAAAACCUUAAUUUUCAUAGUACAUAUGCUCUGCCAAAGCCACCUGCAGGGUUUAAUAGUUGGGAGGUGUGUAUGCAUGAUGUCAUAGAAGCUCUUUGCAGAAAACUGUCCAGAUUUACCAGGCCAAAUCCAAACAUCAGGCAAUGUUGGAUCUCUCUGGAGAUUGAACAUCCUUCCUUCCAAGGAUUCCAAUUCUGCUGCUGCCUGCUGAGAAAUUGGCAGAUGAAACAUUGAGAACAAAUCCUGGGUUUGCAAAAACUCCCUGACAGAAACCUUAUCAUCCAAAACAAAAGAGAAAAGCCUUGGUAAUCUGAGGCUUAGUGGCCUUGAAGAGCCACCUACAUGGCAAGCAUCCAGCCAAAAGAGAGCAGAAUCACCCAUAUUAACUGGCACUGAAGCAAUUGACCUAUAAGUGUCAGCAAGCUUGAGAAUGUCCUUCCACCAAAAGGAGCCAGUUAGGACUGUUGCAUGGGGCACCACUCCAUCAUAAUAACUAUCCCAAAUCAACUGGACCCAAGGAAUCUGCUGUUUGUUGUAGAACUUAUGCAUUUGUUUGAGAAGCAGACCUUGAUUUUGAACAUUGAGGUUGAGAAUGCCAAGUCCUCCCUUAUCCUUUGGUCUGCAAACUAAAUCACAGGCAGCUAGGGAUUGCUUAGGCACAUCAGAAUUUCCUCUCCACAAACACUGCCUGAAAAUCCUAUCCAACUGUUUGAUAAUACCAGGUGGGAUAUGCAAGCUGCAGAGGAAGUAUAUGGGCAUUGAAGUAAGCACAGAUGUGAGAAAUUGUAACCUGGAUCCUUGGUUGAGCAUGGCAGAGCUAACAGACAGUCUUCUUUCAAGACUAUCCACUAAAGGCAUGAAAUCAAUGAUUCUAGGUCUUGUUGUACCAAGAGGCAAACCCAGAUAUGUGAAAGGUAACUGCUCCGGUUUACAUCCCAGGAUGGAAGACAACCUCUGUGCCUCUGUGGGAUCAACAUUUAGUGGCACCAUUGAAGACUUUCCAAAAUUUACCUUUAGGCCAGUAGACUGUUGGAAAAUAUGGAGCAUGUUCUUGAGAGCCACCAACUGGUCCUGUACUGCAGAAAGGAUAAUUAUUGUGUCAUCUGCAUACUGAAUGAUAGGAAAUUCAGGGUCCUAAGAUGGGAUUGGAAGUGUUAGAACUCCCUUAGCCAGCAUGUUAUUGACCAUUGUUUGAAGAAGAUCGGCAGCUAUGACAAAUAAAAGAGGGGAUAGGGGAUCCCCCUGCCUGACCCCACAUUUAUAUUUGAACUGUUUGCCAGGCACCCCAUUAAGCAAAACAGAUGAUGAUCCUGAGGAGAGAAUCUCUUUAAUCCAAGAAAUCCAUUUGGCAUCAAAACCUUUGUGCUGUAGAACUUGCAAGAUGAAGUCAUGCUCCACAGUGUCAAAAGCUUUGGCAAAAUCCAAUUUCAAAAUGAUGGUUGGCCUUUUGGAUUGAUUGCAUUGAUGUAUAUAUUCAAAAGCCCAAGCCAGGCAGUCCUGAAUGGCUCUGCUCUUCAAAAACCCAUAUUGAUUCUUAUGGAUGCAUUGCAGAAUGACCUUUUGAAGCCUAUUUCCCAAAAGCUUAGUAAGGAACUUGAGGCAUGUGUUAGUAAGAGAGAUUGGUCUAAAAUCCUCAAGUCCUUCAGGAGACAACAUCUUUGGAAUUAAGGUGAUAAGGGAUCCAUUAAUAUUUUCCAAAGAUAGCCUCCCAUCAUAAAACCCCUGAAUGAGAGCCAAGAAAUCCUUCUCAAUGAUGGGCCAACACUUCUUAACAAAAAGACCAUUAAAACCGUGAAAGUGAUGAUGAAGAUUCUCCCCCUAAUAAAUAUGAAUUGCCUGUUGUGCCUGAGGGCUAUGUUAUGGAUGAAGAAAUUGCUAAAGCUAUUUUUGUUUGCAAAGAUAGAUAUGAUCUUAAGAAGUUAUUAGCUAAAUGGAAGCAGCAAUCUCUUAAUGCUAGAAUGAAACCUGACCCUGCUUUUGCUACUUCACCUAUCUGUGUUACUGAUAAGGAUUAUGAAUUCUCUGUUGAUCCUGAUAUAAUUACUUUGGUUGAAUCUGAUCCUUUUCAUGGCUAUGAGUCUAAAACUGUUGUGGCACAUCUUACUAAAUUAAAUGAUAUAGCCACCCUAUUCACUAAUGAUGAGAGAACUCGUUACUUUUAUAUCCUUAAAAUAUUCCUGUUCUCAUUAAAGGGUGAUGCUAAGAUAUGGUUUAAUUCUCUUGAUCCUGGUUGUGUGCGUAGUCCCCAGGAUAUGAUUUAUUACUUCUCUGCUAAAUAUUUCACUGCUCAUAAGAAACAAGCUGCUUUGAGGGAUAUAUAUAAUUUUGUGCAAAUUGAAGAAGAGAGUCUCCCACAAGCUUGGGGGAGGCUUCUCCAAUUACUUAAUGCUUUGCCUGAUCAUCCUCUUAAGAAAAAUGAAAUAUUGGAUAUAUUUUAUAAUGGACUAAGUGAUGCUUCCAGAGAUUACCUGGAUAGUUGUGUUGGUUCUGUUUUCAAGGAAAGAACACCGGAUGAAGCUGAAAUUCUAUUGAAUAAUAUGUUGACAAAAGAAAAUAAUUGGACACUUCCUGAGCCAGCUCCUGAGCCUAUUCCUAAACCAACUCCGAAGAAGAGGGGUAUUCUAUUUCUCAGUCCUGAAGAUAUGCAAGAGGCAAAGAAAUCCAUGAAAGAAAAGGGUAUUAAAGCUGAAGAUGUUAAGAAUUUACCUCCUAUUGAAGAAAUACACGGUCUUAAUUUACCGCCUGUUGAAGAAACAUAUGAUCUUAAUCCAUUACCUAUUGAAGAAAUACAUGGUCUUGAUAACCCGACACAAGUAGUAAAGGUAAACUCUCUCUAUAGAUAUGAUAAAAUUGAAAUCCCUCUUACUAAGUUUGCUAGCCAAUGCUUAGAUGAGUUUGAUAAUUUUAUGGUGAAGCAAGAAGAUUUUAAUUCUUAUUUUGGUAGACAAUUGAAAUACAAUUCAAAUAUGCUUGAACACUUGGGUGAUUAUAUGGCUAAUGUUAAAGGUGAAAUUAAACUUAUUAGCAAACAUGCUUCUAUGGUUACCACUCAAGUAGAACAAGUACUUAAAGCUCAAAAUGAUUUGCUCAAUGAACUGAAUAGUAAGAAUAAUGAUAAUGCUGUUAGAGUUAUGACUAGAGGUGGUAAAAUGACUCAAGAACCUUUGUAUCCUGAAGGCCAUCAUAAGAGAAUUGAGCAAGAUUCUCGGAGAAAUAAUAUAGAUGCACCUAGUUCUUCUAAAAGGAAGAAAAAGAAAAAUGAUAGGACUUUGCAUGCUUCUAGUGAACCUAUUGAUGAAACACCUGAGAAUCCAAAUGAUAUUUCUAUUUCUGAUGCUGAAACACAAUCUGGUAAUGAACCUGAAACUAGUGAUAAUAUUAAUGAUAAUGUUCAUGUUGAUGCUCAACCUAGCAAUGAUAAUGAUAUAGAAAUUGAACCUGUUGUUGAUCUUGAUAACCCACAAUCAAAGAAUCAACGUUAUGAUAAGAGAGACUUUGUUGCUAGGAAACAUGGUAAGGAAAGAGAGCCUUGGGUUCAGAAACCCAUGCCUUUUCCUCCCAAACCAUCCAAGAAAAAGGAUGAUGAGGAUUUUGAGCACUUUGCUGAAAUGAUUAGACCUACCUUUUUGCGUAUGCGAUUAACUGAUAUGCUUAAAAUGAAUCCUUAUGCUAAGUACAUGAAAGAAAUUGUUACUAAUAAAAGAAAGAUACCGGAAGCUGAAAUUUCCACCAUGCUUGCUAAUUAUACUUUUAAAGGUGGAAUACCUAAGAAACUAGGAGAUCCCGGAGUACCAACUAUACCAUGCUCCAUUAAAAGAAAUUAUGUUAAAAUUGCUUUAUGUGAUCUUGGAGUCGGUGUUAGUGUUAUGCCUCUCUCUUUAUAUCAUAGACUUGAUUUGAAUAAGUUGACACCUACUAAAAUAUCUUUGCAAAUGGCUGAUAAAUCAACUGCUAUACCUAUCGGUAUUUGUGAGGAUGUGCCUGCUGUGGUUGCAAACGUUACUAUUUUAAUGGACUUUGUUAUUCUUGAUAUUCCCGAGGACGAUAGUAUGUCUAUUAUUCUUGGAAGACCCUUUUUGAAUACUGCAGGGGCUGUUAUUGAUUGCAACAAAGGCAAUGUCACUUUUCAUGUUAAUGGUAAUGAGCAUACGGUACACUUUCCGAGGAAACAACCUCAAGUCCACAGUAUCAAUUCUAUUGGAAAAAUUCAAUCGAUUAUUUUUGAAGGUUUUGAAUUUCCUCUUCCUACUGUCAAAAGAAAUAUGAUAUUCUUAUUAUUGGGGAUGUGCAUAUCCCCGUUGAGGUAACAUAGUGUUAUUCGAAAUUCCUCCGGUUCCAUGUUAUUCGGAAUGAGUUUGCUAACAAGACUUGAUCAACCAUGUUAACGGAUUCCUUUUGAUGAGCAUGAGAUGGAUGAAACUAGAAGGCACAACUCUCCGUACCCUCCUUUUACUUUCUGUUAUUUAUAUUAAAUAAAAUUAAAAGAAGUAUUUUCCGUCUGUUAUCUGAUUUAUCCGUGCAAUAUAAAAUACCCCGAAAAUAAAAGUUCUCCAAAUGCCUUGAAAUUUAAAUAUGAUUUUUUCUGGAAUAUUUGAGAAUAUUUGGCACUAAGAACACAACACAGGGGGCAUCCACCUGGCCACGAGAGUGGAGGGCGCGCCCUACCCCCCCUGUGCGUGCCCCUUGCCUCGUGGGCCCACGGUGGCCCUCCUCCACUUAUUCCUGCACCCACACACUCCUUCCUCCCAUAAACACGAUUAUCCAGUUCGAACCCAAGUCCAAGCUCAUUUUGCUGCUAUUUUCGAUCUCCUUGCUCAAAGCACCUCUCACAAAACUGCUUGGGGGGAUUGUUCCUUGGUAUGCGACUCCUCCAUUGGUCCAAUUAGUUUUUGUUCUAGUGCUUUAUUCAUUGCAAAUUUAUGUUGUCUAGGUGCCCAUGUUCCUGAGCUUGCAUGUCAAAUUUAUGUGGUUCCAACUAGUUUUGAUGCAUGAUAUAGGCUCUAGGCACUUGUAGGAGUUGUUGCUAUCAAUUUUGUUGAGCUUGGCUCACUUUUAUUUGAAGUUACUAAAAAUUUCAGAAUUUUUCAGAAAAUAAUGAAGAGAUUUUUGAGGGGCUCAUCAAGCCGAAGCUCGAAGGAAAAGCAAAAUGAAAAAGCAGAGAGGCCCGAAUAUAAUCUGCCUCGCACCGCAGAGGUUCGGCCGUGUGAAUGGCCUUCCAAUGAUUUCUUGAGAGCAGUCGGGAUUUAUGAUGAUUUUUAUGAAUUGGCUGAGAAUGUAGGCCUCACCGCCUUCCUCCAUGACCAACGCGAACAAUAUCUCUUACUCACCAAUAUCUUUGUGCAAAACUUUCAUUUCCAUGCUAGGAGCUCACCACCUACGGUGGAGUUUUAUUUGUAUGAUGAGCACAAGGAGAUGUCACUUUACGAUUUCUGUCGGGUUUGAUUGAUCCCUUUCGAGGGCACAAUAGAGGAACCACACCGCGGUGAUGUGGAUGGGUUUAUAGAUACCAUCACUGUAGGGGAAACGAGGAAGGUUUCCGAUGCACGAAUCACUAGCAUACAUUUUCCUGUUUUACGCUACUUUGCAAUAUUUGCUAGUCGUUGCUUAAUUGGUCGCGAAAACUGUGGAAACCUUAGUGUUCCUGAUAUUAUUAUUUUGUUCCACGGUUUAUUCUGUGAUAAAUCUGUUAGUAUGGGCGGUAUUAUUGCUAAACGGUUAAGUCUCAACUGUACAAAGGGCCCCAUCUUUGGAGGCAUCUAUGCUUCACGCCUAACUGCGCAUUUUAACAUACCUAUUAAGCAUUAUGAGAAGGAAGAAAAAUUGCUGCCCCUGUUUAUUUAGAUUAUAAGAGUAUGGUGGCACACGAUUUUAUUGUUAAGAAUAGGAAAGGGGAGCUUAAAUACAAAUUGUUCUUUGAUAAACAUCAUCCUGAGACUAUUACCCUGCCUACUCCUUCCUUGUUUGAUUUAUCUCCAGGCAAGUACCUUGUUCCGUUAGAGGCUAUUCACGCCUACCGGAACAUUGCAUCAGCCACAGAGCCAGAGUCGGAACCACUAGUUGAUCCUCCACGACAGUCUAAUUACCAUUGGGAUCCAGAAAUGAUAGCCACCAGUGGAAAUCAGAGUCUUCUUCGCAGUACGACCCCAACUAUUACUAUGGAUAUCCGCCAGGCCAGCCGUGGCCAUAGACCAACUUAGGUCAAAAGCCUAAACUUGGGGGAGUACGUAUUUCCCGCCGACAUUACAUUCAUGUUCGCACACUCAUUGCUAGAUGUCGGUGCUCAUACUUUUUCAUUGUAUCAUCCAUGCUAGUUCAUUUCCUUUUUAAGCUUUCUUCUUGUGUGUUUAAUAAACCUUAAGAAAAACCAAAAAAACUAGUUGUAGCUUUUAGCUAGUUUUAAUUUCCAUGCUUGUAGUAGUAAUUAAAAAGAAAACCCAAAAAAAGAUUUCUUGUUCUUGUUUUGCUCGUUGGGAGCUUUCCCGUGUAAAUAGUUUUAUUUCUUUUCUUUGGGGGUCGAUAGGAGAAUACCAUGAUUAAAUUGUUGAAGUGGCUCUUAUAUAUAUUUUUUAUCUGACAAAAGAGCCCAUAUUGCCUUGUCUUCUCCAGUUUAUUGAAUGCUUGCAGAUUCCAGCUUAGUCCAAUGCACGCGCACUAUUAUUAUUAUCCACAUCGUUCGGUCGUGCAAGUGAAAGGCAAUUAUGACAAUAUAUGAUGGACUGACUGAGAUGAGAAAAGCUGGUAUAAACUCAACCUCUCUUGUUUUUGUAAAUAUGAUUAGUUCAUCGUUCCUGAUUCAGCCUAUUAUGAAUAAACAUGUUUGCAAUGACAACUAGAGAUCAUAGUUUCUUGUGCCAUGCUUGAUUAGCUAGGAGCUUAUAAUGGUUUACCUUGCGUGCCAACAUGCUAUUAAAAUGGUUGUGAUGUGGUAUGAUAGGGUGGUAUCCUCCUCUGAAUGAUUUGAGUGGCUUGACUUGGCACAUGCUCACGCAUGUAGUUGAAAUAAAAUCAACAUAUCCUCUACGAUAUUUAUGUUCAUGGGGAAUUAUAUCCUACUCAUGCUUGCAUUUGGUGUUGAUUAAUUUUAAUGCAUGUUUAUGAGUGUUGUCGCUCUCUAGCUGGUUGCUUCCCAGUCUUUUGCUAGCCUUCACCUGUACUAAGCGGGAAUACUGCUUGUGCAUCCAAUCCCAUAAACCCCAAAGUUAUUCCAUAUGAGUCCACCAUACCUACCUAUUUACGGUAUCUACCUGCCGUUCCAAGUAAAUUUGUAUGUGCCAAACUCUAAACCUUCAAAUAAAUAUCAUGUUUUGUAUGCUCGAAUAGCUCAUGUAUCAACUAGGGCUGUCUGUAUCUUCCAUGUUAGGCGGGUUAUUCUCAAGAGGAGUGGACUCCGCUCCUCACUCACGAGAAAAUGGCUGGUCACCGGGAUGCCCAGUCCCAUGCUUUAUGCAAAUCAAAUCAAAAUAAUUGCAAACAAAACUCUCCCUAGGACUCUUGUUAGUUGGAGGCACUCGUUGUUUUGAGCAAGCCAUGGAUUGAUGCUUGUUAGUGGAAGGGGAGUAUAAACUUUACCAUUCUGUUUGGGAACCGCCUAUAAUGUGUGUAGCAUAGAAUAUAUCGCCCUCUCUUGGUUGUUAUGUUGACAAUGAAAGUAUACUGCUCAAAAUAUUAUUCACCUCUAUUUCAAAACCGAGCUCUGGCACCUCUACAAAUCCCUGCUUCCCUCUGCGAAGGGCCUAUCUAUUUACUUUUAUGUUGACUCAUCAUCCUCUUAUUAAAAAUCACAAGUUGGAGAGCACCGCUGUCAUUUGCAUUCAUUACUGUUAGUUUACAUUGAGUAUGACUGGACUGGAUCUCUUUUACCAUGAAUUACAAUGUCUAGUCAGUCCUUGAUCUUUAAAGGUGCUCUGCAUUUAUGUUUUGCGGUCUCAGAAAGGGCUAGCGAGAUACCAUCUUGUUAUAUCAUAUCAUGAUUGUUUUGAGAAAGUGUUGUCAUCUGAGAUUUAUUAUAUUGCUCGCUAGUUGAUUAUGCCAUUGAUAUGAGUAAACAUGAGACCUAAAUGUUAUUGUGAAUAUGGUUAGUUCAUAAUCUUUGCUGAAAACUUGAAUGCUGGCUCUACAUAUUUACAACAACAAGAGCAAACAGAGUUUGUAAAAGUUUUUCUUUAUCACUUUCAGCUUAUCAACUGAACUGCUUGAGGACAAGCAAAGGUUUAAGCUUUGGGCAGUUGAUACGUCUUCGUCGUAUCUACUUUUCCAAACACUUUUGCCCUUGUUUUGGACUCUAACUUGCAUGAUUUGAAUGGAACUAGCCCGGACUUACGCUGUUUUCAGCAGAAUUGCCAUGGUGUUAUUUUUGUGCAGAUAUAAAAGUUCUCGGAAUGACCCGAAAAUCAACGGAGAAUUAUUUUGGAAUACAUAAAUAAUACUGGAAGGAAGAUCCACGUCAGGGGGGCCUCCACCUGUCCACGAGGGUGGGGGCGCGCCCUACCCCCCUGGUGCUACCUCUUGAGCACUGCGUUGGUUUUCCCUUGAAGAGGAAAGGGUGAUGCAGUAAAGUAGCGUAAGUAUUCCCCUCAGUUUUUGAGAACCAAGGUAUCAAUCCAGUAGGAGAUCACGCUCGAGUCCCACGCACCUACACAACCAAAUAAGAACCUCGCAACCAACGCGAUAAAGGGGUUGUCAAUCCCUUCACGGUCACUUACGAGAGUGAGAUCUGAUAGAUAUGGUAAGAUAAUAUUUUGGUAUUUUUAUGAUAAAGAGAAAUAAAGAUGCAAAGAAAAAUAAACGGCAAUAGAAAUAACUAAGUAUCACCUGGGCGCACCCCCUGCCUCGUGGGCCCCCUGACGCUCCACCAACCUCAACCCUGACUUCAUAUAUUCACUUUCGGGGAGAAAAAACCAGAGAGAAAGAUUCAUCACAUUUUACGAUACGGAGCCGCCGCCAAGCCCUAAACUCUCUCGGGAGGGCUGAUCUGGAGUCCGUUCGGGGCUCCGAAGAGGGGAAUCCAUCGCCAUCAUCAUCAUCAACCUUCCUCCAUCACCAAUUUCAUGAUGCUCACCGUCGUGCGUGCAUAAUUCCAUCGUAGGCUUGCUGGACGGUGAUGGGUUGGAUGAGAUUUAUCAUGUAAUCGAGUUAGUUUUGUUAGGGUUUGAUCCCUAGUAUCCACUAUGUUCUGAGAUUGAUGUUGCUAUGACUUUGCUAUGCUUAAUGCUUGUCACUAGGGCCCGAGUGCCAUGAUUUCAGAUCUGAACCUAUUAUGUUAUCAUCAAUAUAUGAGCGUUCUUGAUCCUAUCUUGCAAGUCUAUAGUCACCUACUAUGUGUUAUGAUCCGGCAACCCCGAAGUGACAAUAAUCGGGACCACUCCUGGUGAUGACCGUAGUUUGAGGAGUUCAUGUAUUCACUAUGUGUUAAUGCUUUGGUCCGGUACUCUAUUAAAAGGAGGCCUUAAUAUCCCUUAGUUUCUGCUAGGACCCCGCUUCCACGGGAGGGUAGGACAAAAGAUGUCAUGCAAGUUCUUUUCCAUAAGCACGUAUGACUAUAUUCGGAAUACAUGCCUACAUUACAUUAAUGAAUUGGAGCUAGUUCUAUGUCACCCUAGGUUAUGAUUGUUACAUGAUGAACCGCAUCCGACAUAAUUCUCUAUCACUGAUCCAUUGCCUACGAGCUUUCCAUAUAUUGUUCUUCGCUUAUUUACUUUUCCAUUGCUAUUGCUAUCAUCACUACAAAAUACCAAAAACAUUACUUUUGCUAUCGUUACCUUUUGCUGCCGUUACCACUACUAUCAUAUUACUUUGCUACUAAACACUUUGCUGCAGAUAUUAAGUUUCCAGGUGUGGUUGAAUUGACAAGUCAGCUGCUAAUAGUUGAGAAUAUUCUUUGGCUCCCCUUGUGUUGAAUCAAUAAAUUUGGGUUGAAUACUCUACCCUUGAAAACUGUUGCGAUCCCCUAUACUUGUGGGUUAUCAUUGCUCCUGCAGCGGGUCUUGCACAUAGCGGUGCUUCCAGGACGUAAUUCUUCUGUGUAGCAAUGAGGAUAAUCCUCAAGUUACGGACCUAGUCCAUGUAGUUGCUACCAUCAUCUUUCAACUUAGGUUUCUCUACGAACGCAUUAAAAUUCAAAGGGACAUUAGCACGGGCCAUUGAUCUACAACAACAUAGACAUGCAAACUACUAUCAGGUGCUAAGUUCAUGAUAAAUUAAAGUUCAAUUAAUCAUAUUACUUAAGAACUCCCACUUAGAUAGACAUCCCUCUAGUCAUCUAAAUGAUCACGUGAUCCAUAUCAACUAAACCAUGUCCGAUCAUCUCGUGAGAUGGAGUAGUUUCAAUGGUGAACAUCACUAUGUUGAUCAUAUCUACUAUAUGAUUCACGCUCGACCUUUCGGUCUCAGUGUUCCGAGGCCAUAUCUGCAUAUGCUAGGCUCGUCAAGUUUAACCCGAGUAUUCUGCGUGUGCAAAACUGGCUUGCACCCGUUGUAUGUGAACGUAGAGCUUAUCACACCCGGUUAUCACGUGGUGUCUCGGCACGACGAACUAUAGCAAUGGUGCAUACUCAGAGAGAACACUUGUACCUUGAAAUUUAGUGAGAGAUCAUCUUAUAAUGCUACCGCCGUACUAAGCAAAAUAAGAUGCAUAAAGGAUAAACAUCACAUGCAAUCAAAAUAAGUGAUAUGAUAUGGCCAUCAUCAUCUUGUGCCUUUGAUCUCCAUCUCCAAAGAACCGUUAUGAUCACCAUCAUCACCGGCUUGACACCUUGAUCUCCAUCGUAGCAUCGUUGUCAUCUCGCCAACUAUUGCUUCUACGACUAUCGCUACCACUUAGUGAUAACGUAAAGCAAUUACAUGGCGAUUGCAUUUCAUACAAUAAAGCGACAACCAUAAGGCUCCUGCCAGUUGCCGAUAACUUUUACAAAACAUGAUCAUCUCAUACAACAACUUAUAUAUCAUCACGCAAAAACAAGUUAGACGUCCUCUACUUUGUUGUUGCAAGUUUUACGUGGCUGCUACAGGCUUCUAGCAAGAACCGUUCUUAUCUACGCAUCAAAACCACAAUGAUUUUUCAUCAAGUGUGUUGUUUUAACCUUCAACAAGGACCGGGCGUAGUCAAACUCGAUUCAACUAAAGUUGGAGAAACAGACACCCAGUAGCCACCUGUGUGUGAAGCACCUCGAUGGAACCAGUCUCAUGAACGCGGUCAUGUAAUGUCGGCCUGAGCUGCUUCAUCCAACAAUACCGCCAAAUCAAAGUAAGACGUUGCUGGUAAGAAGUAUGACUAUUAUCGUCCACAACUCAUUGUGUUCUACUCGUGCAUAUAACAUCUACGCAUAGACCUGGCUCGGAUGUCAUUGUUGGGGAACGUAGUAUUUCAAAAAAAAUCAUACGAUCACGCAAGAUAUAUCUAGGAGAAGCAUAGCAAUGAGCGGGGAGAGUGUGUUCACGUACCCUCGUAGACCGAAAGCGGAAGCGUUUAGUAACACGGUUGAUGUAGUCGAACGUCUUUGCGAUCCAAUCGAUCCAAACACCAAACGUACGACACCUCCGCGUUCAGCACACGUUCAGCUUGAUGACAUCCCUCGAGCUCUUGAUCCAGUUGAGGCCGAGGGAUAGUUCCGUCAGCACGAUGGCGUGGCGACGGUGAUGAUGAAGUUACCGGCGCAGGGCUUCGCCUAAGAACUACGACGAUAUGACCGAGGUGUGUAACUGUGGAGGGGGGCAACGCCCACGGCUAAGAGAAACUUGUGUCUUUGGGGUGCCCCCCUCCCACGUAUAUAAAUGGGGGGAGGAGGCCGGCCCAAAGGGGGGCGCGCCACAUGUUGGGGGUCCUACUAGGACUCCCUAGUCCUAGUAGGAUUCCCCUCUCCUUUCCUUUUACGGAAGGGGGAAAGGGGGGAAGGAGAGGAGGGGAAGAGGGAAAGGGGGCACGCCCCCUCCCCUUCCUAUUCGGACUCCACUUGGGGGGACGCGCACGCCUCCCCCUUGUGGGUUGUACCCUCUUCUCUCCCAUGGCCCAUAAGGCCCAUGAUUUCCCCCGGGGGGUUCCGGUAACCUCCCGGUACUCCAGAAAAAUGCUCGAAUCACUCGGAAUCAUUCUGAUGUUUGAAUGCAACCUUCCAAUAUAUGAAUCUUUACCUCUCGACCAUUUCUGUGAUCUCAUCCGGGACUCCGGACAAACUUCAGUCAUCAAAUCACAUAACUCAUAAUACAAAUUGGCACGAACGUUAAGCAUGCGGACCCUAUGGGUUUGAGAACUAUGUAGACAUGACUGAGACACAUCUCCGGUCAUUAACCAAUAGCGGAACCUGGAUGCUCAUAUUGGCUCCUACAUAUUCUACGAAGAUCUUUAUCGGUCAAACCGCAUAACAACAUACGUAGUUCCCUUUGUCAUAUGUAUGUUAUUUGCCCGAGAUCCGAUCGUCGGUAUCCCCAUACCUAGUUCAAUCUCGUUACCGUCAAGUAUCUUUACUUGUUCCGUAAUGCAUCAUCAUGUAACUAACUCAUUAGUCACAUUGCUUGCAAGGCUUAUAGUGAUGUGCAUUACCGAGAGGGCUUAGAGAUACCUCUCUGAUACACGAAGUGGCAAAUCCUAAUCUCGAUCUAUGCCAACUCAACAAACACCAUCAGAGACACCUGUAGAGCAUCUUUAUAAUCACCCAGUUACAUUGUGACGUUUGAUAGCACACUAAGUGUUCCUCCGGUAUUCGGGAGUUGCAUAAUCUCAUAGUCAUAGGAACAUGUAUAAGUCAUAAAGAAAGCAAUAGCAAUAAAAUUAAACGAUCAUUAUGCUAAGAUAACGGAUGGGUCUUGUCCAUCACAUCAUUCUCUAAUGAUGUGAUCCCGUUCAUCAAAUGACAACACAUGUCUAUGGUUAGGAAACUUAACCAUCUUUGAUUAACGAGCUAGUCUAGUAGAGGCAUACUAGGGACACUCUGUUUGUCUAUGUAUUCACACAUGUACUAAGUUUCUGGUUAAUACAAUUCUAGCAUGAAUAACAAAGAUUUAUCAUGAUAUAAGGAAAUAUAAAUAACAACUUUAUUAUUGCCUCUAGGGCAUAUUUCCUUCAGGAAGAGCAUCGCGGGUGGGAGGGAGAAGGGGAAUUAAGAGAGUGUGGGUUUGGGUUUGGGCCUCCGCGUGCUAUGUGUACACAUGUGUUGGUGGGUCGAUAGUAGUGGUCCUGGGUUUAUACCCCACGCUACUACUAUGGCCUAUCCCGGGGGUACGGUAGAGACCGCUUAGUAGUAGCGAGGGAUUUAUACCCCUCACUACUACUAUCAACUUAGUAGUAGUGAGGGAUUUAUACCCCUCGCUACUACUAUCAACUUAGUAGUAGUGAGGGAUUUAUACCCCUCGAUACUACUAUGGCCAGUCCCGGGGGGCACGGUGGAGACCACUUAGUAGUAGUGUGGGGUUUAUACCCCUCGCUACUACUAUCAACUUAGUAGUAGUGUGGGUUCUAUACCCCUCGCUACCAAUAAUUAGCAGCAGUGUGGCCCAUAUACCCCUCGCUACGGUUAAGCAUCUAUCUAUAAAGUAUUUUCUAGUAGUGCAUCGAUGGCGGCGAAAUCAGUCGUUCUGCUUGUUUUCCCUACUAGCUCUCUGACGUCCAGAACAAGUUUACGGUCAUAAGGUGCAAUAACCUUGCCUUCAUGAGUGACACGAUGACACGGGAACAGGCUUCCAAGCCUAUGGUGUCGCAUCAUGUCGUGGUCUGCUAGACUUAGUGGACGAAUGCUACUACAAUAUCGGUUGAUCUCAUACUACAAUACCAAGGAAGACACGCAACUACUAUAUAUAUUUCUUCAAGUCAGUCAACACAAGUAAAAUCUGGGAGUUCAACUGGUGCAGCUAUGCAAUGCUAAUGGAGACAACACAAUUCAACUUUAGCACUUCACACAUAAGCAACACCACGUUCAAUGGCACACACCUUAGAGUGUACCUAUGGUGGUUGAUUGGGCUAUAAGAAAUGUGAGUCCAUGUGAAGAUGCCAAAUAUAAUAACACGGCUAAUUACACAUGCAGUGGCAGCAGCAACAAGUGCAUGAAUUCCACAAAUGAUCUAGGGUACACAUGCAACUGUGUCCUUGAGUAUGACAACAACCCUUAUCUUCUAGACAAAUGCAUGGUAUGCUACUAAUUUAUUUGCUAAAUAUUCCAAUGAAUUGUGUCCUUUACUUUGUACAUACCCAAUUAUAAUAUUUUAUUUUGCUAAUACAAUGUAGCCUUCAAUUUAAACCAAGGUUUGCAUCCAUUAAUUAUGUUAGGUUCAUAUGACUUCACUACAUAAAUAGGUAGAUAAUGCAUAAGACUGAGAUUGUAGCUAGGGAUGAAAAUCUAAAUACGGCAUGAAUCUAACAAUUAUGAGUAAUGUCUUUGUGACAAGAACUUUCUUUGUCUUUUAUUCCCAUGUUUGAACUAGUAUAGGUCAGGGUUACACAUUAUGGUGCACAUCACUUUAUUUGUCAUCGUUACAUUGAACACUCAUUGACUAAACAACGAUGAUCCAUCCGUCUUGUAUUACAGGUCUUCAUUUCAUUGGCCACCGAUGCUUGUAAGACUACUCCCAGAUGGUUGUUGUUGUGGAUAUGGUUGUUGAGGUUGGUGUGGUUGCUGGGGGAAUGGUUGUUGGGGUUGCUGGGAAAUUGUUUGUUCUAGUUGCUGGGAUAAUUGUUGUUGGGGCUGCAGAAAUGGUUGUUGUGGUUGUUGUGGUUGCAGGAUGGAGGGUUGCUGGGAAAAUGGUUGUUGCGGUCGUAGGGGGAAUGGUUGUUGUGGUUGUAGAGGGAAAGGUUGUUGUGGUUGUUGAGGGAAUGGUUGUUGUGGUUGUUGGGGGAAUGAUUGUUGUGGUUGCAGGGGGAAUGGUUGUUGUGGUUGCUGGGGGAANNNNNNNNNNNNNNNNNNNNNNNNNNNNNNNNNNNNNNNNNNNNNNNNNNNNNNNNNNNNNNNNNNNNNNNNNNNNNNNNNNNNNNNNNNNNNNNNNNNNNNNNNNNNNNNNNNNNNNNNNNNNNNNNNNNNNNNNNNNNNNNNNNNNNNNNNNNNNNNNNNNNNNNNNNNNNNNNNNNNNNNNNNNNNNNNNNNNNNNNNNNNNNNNNNNNNNNNNNNNNNNNNNNNNNNNNNNNNNNNNNNNNNNNNNNNNNNNNNNNNNNNNNNNNNNNNNNNNNNNNNNNNNNNNNNNNNNNNNNNNNNNNNNNNNNNNNNNNNNNNNNNNNNNNNNNNNNNNNNNNNNNNNNNNNNNNNNNNNNNNNNNNNNNNNNNNNNNNNNNNNNNNNNNNNNNNNNNNNNNNNNNNNNNNNNNNNNNNNNUGGUUGCAGAGGGAACGAUUGUUGGGUCUGGGGAAAUGGUUGUUGUGGUUGCCAGGAAAAUGGUUGUUGGGGCUGUGGAAAAGGUUGUUGUGGUUGUUGGGGUUGCUGGGGGAAUGGUUGUUGUGGUUGUAAGGGGGUCGGUUGUUGGGGUUGGGGAAAUAAUUGUUGUGAUUGCUGGGGAAAUUGUUGUUGGGGUGUGGAAAAUGGUUGUUGUGAUGGAUAUGGUUGCUGUGAUGGAUAUGGUUGUUGUGGAUAUGGCUGUUGUGGAAAUAGUUUUUGUUGAUGGGAAAAUGAUUGUUGAGGUGAUUGUAACUCUUUGUUGUUAGGGUUUAGUUGCCUAGCGGCAAUGGCGGUGUUCAUCGCCAUGGCAAGGAGGACAAAGAUGAGGAAGGUCUUCAUGUUGGAUUUGUGGUUACUACUGCUUGCUUGCCUUUGAUGCUUGUGGUCUAGGUGUGUGAAGUUUUGUUGAUGGAAGGUGUCCUUGGUGGUGCAUGUGUAUUUAUAGUUUUCAUGGCAUGGCUUGCUUUCAUCUUUGCACUCGCUCUUUGAAAAAGUGCAUCAAUGCUUAUCCAACUAAUCAUUUGGUUUGUUGUGUUUGGUGCAACUACUUACUAGUGAGAUUUUGGAUUUUCAUGAUAGUUGUUUUUUGUUGAAAUCAUCUGGUUGUAAGGAAUGUUGGAUAAUGACCAAUGACUCAUCUUCUUCACUUUACACUGCAAACAUUGAUCUAGAUUAUGUCCCUUUUUGAAAUUUAGUUUGUGGAGCUCUACAUGUUGUUAGGCUUAUCCAUAUUGGCAUAGCUUGAGUGGAGCUAAGUUUGUAAGCUUGUGUGCGCCAUUAUGAUGGAUCACACUAUUAAUGUGAUGAUUGUUUUACAAAUUAUCUUUCCAAAACUAACUUUAUGUUUUUUGCCCAAUAUGAUUCUAAGACGGAUAACCAGACAUGACUCAUCAAAUAACAAGAUAAACCGAGUAGCAAGUUGGGGGUUAUAAGUUAUAAUAUGGACUUUUCUCUAAGAUACACCAUCUUGUCUUGCAUGCUCUGUGGAUUUGAAAAGCAUCUACUAAUUUAGAUGCAAUUGAAACAAAAGUAGACUAAAAAGGUAAGCAAUGAAAUGAGAAUACUAUUAUGUGAAGCUCUACAUGUCUGGUAAGCAGUGAGAUACUGGAUACAUCUAUAUCUUCAAUCCUUUCAUCCCUAUCAACUCUUUAUUGGCUGCUUUUAUCGUAGUCAUCCCUUAAAUAAAAAUCACUUAAAUAUAAGUUUGGGAGUUAGUACCAACAUAUAUCAUGUACAAGAUAGAAAACUAAGGCACAUAUAGUAGUCUAUUGACCAUAUUUAAUUUCUUGUGAUGUGAAAGCAUGUGGAGUAUAAGUUGGUUAAAUAUAAAGUUGUCCUUCAUACCAGUAGGGAAAGAAUAUGCAGUAUAAAGAUUAGAGCAUUGGACUAAUAUGCUAUUAAAUGCUACAGGAUAAUUGACAGUUCAAGUUAAGAACAACAUUAGCAUUCCAACUUUUGUCUUGUGCAAGUUAAGAACAUGCUAACAAAGUAACCUAAGCAAAUAAGUGCAAAACCUUCACCUAUAAGGAAAUUGUGAAACUACACAAAAUGACCUAUUGUAAAGAAGGAAAAAAAUCUAAAGGUGAAUGAAAGAACGUUAAGUACAUUCAGGAUUCGAUUAUGCCUUCAUGGAUAACCUUUUAGAUGGUGACAUGUCCAUGUUGAUGUGUGUCGGCAUGGAACGAGGACAAGAAGACGUCGUUGCGUCGUACUUUGGGAAUUUCAUCAAACUGGUUGUGUGCGGGAACAAAUAUUUGUCGCCUCCCUGCUCAAAUCUCUCUUCAUGUCACUGAAUCCGACACUCCACCUACCAAAAUCAGCUGCAAGCCAGGGAUAAUCAACGGGUUUCUCCGCCCGUAGCAUCUAUCACCAAAAGUAGUUCAGACUAUAGUCUUGUAGUUCAAAAUUUUGUAAUAACAAGCACUACUAGGUUGCUUUUGUUUGUACGUCUUCAUUCUGUACAACCCAUGGAACUAAAAAUGCAUUGGUCAUUCUUUGUUCUAUACAACCAAUUCAACCAAAAAUGCAUUGGGCUUUUCUUUGUACAUCUUCGGGUUCUACAACCAAUGCAACAAAAAAUCCAUUGGGUAGUCUUCCAUUCUAGUCGGGCACCAACAGUUAAAUGAGGAGCUAAACAAUGUUGGAGUCUAAAACUACAUACAAUCAUGAAGCAUAGAGAGGCGACUUGGAAGCUGUGCUCCUGUGAGCUCGUAUUUUUGUAGACAAAAAGUAAUGUUUGUAUUUUGAAGUGGGAAAAAAUCCUAAAAAGGGAUGUUUUGCGGGUUAUAACUUACUAUUUUUGGGUCCUGGGCUGCAGGAAGGUCGUCAAAAUCAAUGUGUUUUCCCAUUCAAUGCAUGUUUCUUGGGUUAUAGGUCACGCUUUUGGUGUCCUAGGGAGAUCACUUCCCCGGUCAAGAACAUUAGGUGAUGAUUUUUAGAAAAACUCAUUGUUUUAGCCUAACUAGUUUCGAGGAUUGGUGGACGGGAUUAUCAUGGAACAAAGUGACAACCUUCCUUUUCUUCAUGCCUAAUAUAAACUUAGCAGUCAGCUAAAAGUAACUAGCGAUAUCACAGAAUGUUUUUUGUCAAAAGUAGAUACCACUUCAGGAUUCAACUCGGUUAGUUCAAUCACAGACAUGUUAAGAGCAGGAUUUACAACUAACUGCAUAGGGAACAUCUCCUUUUAUCACCCACUAUCUGUCUGUGCACUUUGGUUUUCCCGUAGCAUCACACAAAGCACUUUGUUAGUACCAAUAAUGUGCUCCAACUCUACACAUUAAUCAUCUUGAAUUCUUCUACUGAUGUCGAACAAUGUAAUAUCUUGAAUUCUUCUAACGAGUUCGGAUUAGACUACAUGGGCAAUUUAUCUGGUCCCUGAGAUGCAAGGUCGAUGAACAAUCGCUUCGUCUUAUGACGAGGGGUUGUUUUUGCCUAAGAAACUAAUACAUGUAACUUCGACACCGGAUUAAUAAAUGGUAAAACCUAAAUAAAUUAGAUCACGAGCUAAACCAUUUACUUUUGUAUGCAUUUAAACUUUUGAUACAUAUGAGCUUGUUAAGAUGUUCGCAUAAACACCAUGGUGAUUUGAAGCAAGACAAAGUAAACUUGAACCGCUUGAGCCACUGACUUAAUAAGAACCUCCUUUCCCGCGGCAGAGAUUGUUUUUAAUACAUCCACUCACUUUGGCCCAUAGUUUGUCUUUGAGAUACUUAAAAGCACUAGACAUAGAAUUGACAAUAUUAGAAGGCAAGCCCAAAUAUUUCACAUUUAGUGUUUCUACUUGGACACUGAGACCACCUUUGACCUCAUUUUUGACAUUCUCUCUGCAAUCCUUGCUGAGAAACACUGAAGGCUUCCUAUUUAUUUAUUCUUGACCUAAAGCUUCAUUGCGUCUUGCCUUGGUCUUGCACUACUUGCGGCACAAUACGCCUUUGGAACUGCCGUUCCGAAUUCAGAGUGCCGAAGGUGGUGUGACGAUGUUGAGAUACCGUACUCGUUCGGUAGUGAUUCGGGUUGAUCAUUCAGAGUAGACUUUGACAAUAGCUGCAAGGACAAGAUUGCAUUAGGGAGCCUUUUAAUUACACCUCGGAGGUGCUCAGCAUCUUCUUGAUGAACAACAUGGUCCUAGUGUUGAAUAAUAUCAUAUGGGGUAGUGCUACAACAACUCCACCACAAGCAUGGAGGAAUUUAGCAAAUUCCAUCAGUACUAGGAGAAAGCCUAGUAGCAACGCGAGGUAAAGGACUACUAGUAGCGCGGGUGCCCACGCUACUACUAGGGUGCUACAGCUAAUUGGUAGUAGUAGCGUGGGUGACACCCUGCGCUACUACCACGUCUGUUAGUAUAGUAGCGCGAGUGUCACCCGCACUACUACUAGUUAUCUGUAGCCCGGGUCUGACCCCACGCUACUACUAACUAAUUAGGAAUUAAAAAAAUAAAUUCCAUCCAUGGUUGCUGCUGCUGGGCGUCAUCGUCCUCUCCGUCCAUGGCUGAUGUUGGUCCUGGAGGGGAUGACGUCGUCCAUGGUGAUGGUACUUCCUCACCCAAAUCGUCCCCACACCUCUCCUAUGCUACUGCUACAAAAUAAGAGAAAACGAUUAGAAGAGGAAGAGAGAUAUUGAGAGGAGUAGGAGGAGCAACUGACCGGUGGCCGCCGGAGUUGGAGCUGAUGCCCGAAACCCUAGACGAUGCCCGGUGACCUGUUGCUUCUUUUCCUGGGACCUCAUGUCCUCACAAGGCCAUGUCUCAGCGAGGAAGUGCAAGUGGUUGCGUAGCAGAUCUGUUCAUCGCCAUUGGUGGCGCUCUGUUGGAUCUUCCUCUCCUUCCAGCAUCGGAGAAGGAGGAGGAAGGAGGCGAAGGUGAGGCGUAAGUCAGUGGCCCAAAAUUUUUAUAUAGAUGAGACUUACUAAGUAAUAACCCCAUAGAAUCUAUCUAUAUAAAGAUAAAGAGGCAAUCGUGUCAGGAAGCGGGUUUUUCUUUGGCCAAAAGGUACUUAGAACUUGGAACGAGCAUGAAGAGAUUAACGAGACUUCUUUCUCUUUUGAGUUUUUCUGGCGGACCUGCCGCGCAAGAUCUUUGGUCUUCCCCUGGAACCGAUGAAAAAAAGUGGAUUGCUUCUUAUGUACUCGCUCAGCUUAAGAUGCUCGCAUAAUCCCCGUGGUAAUUUGAAGCAAUACAUAGAGUAAACUAGAACUGCUUGAGCCACUAACUUAAUGAGAACCUCCUUUCCCGUAGGAUAUAUCAUUUUUUCAAUCCAUCCAUUCACUUUGGCCCAUAGUAUGUCUUUGAGAUACUUAAAAGCAGUAGAUUAGAAUUACCAAUAUCAUAAGGCAAGCCCAAAUAUUUCUCAUUUAGUGUUUCUGUUGGACACUGAGAACACCUUUGACCUCAUAUCUAACAUUCUCUACACAACCCUUGCUGAGAAACACUGAAGACUUGCUAUUAUUUAUUCUUUGACCUGAAACUUGGCAAUAGGUUUGACACAUCUGUCGCCCCUGAACCAUUUGCCUUGAAAAACAGCAGGCUGUCAUCUGCAAAUAACAAGUGGUUAACUGAUGCCACCAAAGGAGCUACUUGGAUUCCAGUAAACUGGGAUGACUAGUCUCUAGAUUUGAGGAGGCCCGAAAGGCCAUGUACUGCUAACAGGAAAAUCAAGGUGAAUUGGAUCUUGCUGCCGUAUACCACGGGUAGGUUUGAGCUCAUCAAGUUUCUUGCUCUUGAAUAAAAUUGAAUAAGAUACAGAAGCUACCAUGCUCAUUUCUAUGGAGGCCCAUUUAACAGAGAAUCCAAAGUUGAGAUUUAUCACCUCCAAAUACGCCCAUUCAACUAGAUUAUAAGCCUUCAUCAUAUCCAAUUUUAGAGUACAAUGGUGAUGUUACAAUGACUUAUUCCUUUUCAUGAAAUGUAAGCACUCGUAGGCCACGAUUAUAUUGUCAGUGAUAAGGCGACCCGGAACAGAAGCCGACUCUUCACUCAAUAUUAUCUCCGGAAGGGCCCCUUUUAGCCGGUUAGCCAGAACUUUGGGUGUUAUUUGUAAAGUUGCAUAGGCUAAUACGACAGAACUGGCUUAGGAAAGUACCAUUUUGUACCUCAUCACUAUCCUCGCCACAAUACAAAGGACAACCAUUGUUACCUCCUCGCCGCAAAUAUCCCAAUGUUUCUCAAAGAAAUGUUCAAAGAAUCCGUCCGGGCCCAAGGCCUUCAUGCGGAACAUUUGAAACAAUACAAUUUAAACCUUGUUGUAGAAUACUUAGCGUCAAGGAAGGCAUUCAUCGCAUCACUGACCUUUACUGGAACCAAGUCAGGAAAUCAUGCAUAUUAGAAACAGUCUCAGAAGUGAAAAGCUCCGAGUAAAACUAUGUUGUGAUCUCUUCCAAUUCCUUAAGAACACUGAUAACAUCACAUUAGGUUGCUACAAUGAUUUGGUCAAAUUAUUCCGCCUUCUCAUCGAAGCCCUUAAGUGAAAGAAGCAUGUGGUCUUGUCCCCACUAAUCAGCCACUUAAUCUGAGAUCUAGUAGGCAAGAUGAGUGACGGGAAGUAGUUCGGAACAAUUUCCUCUUAUUCACUUCUAAAACAAAUUUUCGGUUUUUGUCGUUCCUAAGCCAAGGAUUUGAUAAAUAUUCAUAAAUUUUUAAAAUGUUCACCAAUAUUAAAAACAUCAUGAUUUUAAAAAACCGUGAUUUUUAAACAAAAUCAUAAAUAUGAAAAUUGCCAUUCACAAAAUUUUAAAAUAAAAUCAUGAAUUUUAAAAGAAUUUUCAAAAUUUUGAUAAAUAUCUACGAAUUUUACAACUUUGAUGAAUUUUAAAAACAAACCAUAACAAAAAAACACUAGCAAGUUCGAUCCUAAAAAAUGCCUUGCCUUCUACUAUGCGUAGCGUGCAUGGACAGCCGGACCUAGACACCCUAGACCAAAAACCCUACAUCUGGGCCAGGCCCGAGCUCCAUUUUUUGGCCCAAAGCCCAGCCCAAAAAGGCAGAAAUGGUAAGAAAUGUAUACUUUAUUCAAAAUAUAGGUAUAUUAUAUUGUUUUAGUAUCUCAAAUAAUUAUUUAAAUUGAAAAAUGUCGUUGUUCAUGUGUUUCUGGACGGGCCAAGCCAGGCUCAUGCUUGGGAUUUUUGCUUCGGGCUUUGACAACCUGGCCCGGGGUAUGAUCAAGUUCAGCAUGGCCCAGUCACACACCCUUGUACAACAUUUUGUUGUAGAGAGCGGCAAAUAUAAUUUUCCCGAUCUAAUAUUGCUCGCUAUAAGUCUAUAUCUAUACUUUUUUCUAUACCCAUACUAAUAAAGCAAGGUGCGUUUCCCCAAUUUUUUCAUUCAUUCACUGUCGAAAACAAUUAUGUUUCCUAUCCGAGGUGGUCCUAAAUUCUUAUGCGUUCAUCUGCUAAAAGAAAGGCUUUUCCGGAAUUUCUUACGUGGGUUGCGCGCUAUGGCCAGUGAAGUCAGCCCACUUAUUUUUCUGCCCAUGCAGCUCUAAAAAAUCUAUUUAACACACAGGGCAAGAAAUAGUCGGCACUUCAAACUGGAAAACAAAUAAUGGGCUAGCCAAUUUUUCUUUGUUUCUGUGUUUUAUUUCUAUUUUUAUUCUCCUUCCCCGAUUUCUUUUUUCACUUCCAAGUUUACAUUUCUUAUAGAAUUUAUUUUAUAAAUUCAAAAUUCUCAAAAAACAUAGAGAAUUUUAAAAAAAUGGAAAAUGUUCAUAACUCCAAUUUUUUUGCUAUUUAAAUUUUUUUCAGAACUUGAAUUUUUUCCCUUUUUCCGAAAAUUUUAUUGUUUUUUAAAAUUGUUAGAGAUUUCUAAAAAGAAAAUGGAAAUUUAAAAAGUCUUCCAAAUUCGAAAAAAAAUCAUGUUUUAGUGAAAUUUUCACAACUCAAAUUAUUCUUAAAAAAUACACAUUUUAAAAAGUAAGGAUUUUCAAUACAUGUUCCCGUUCUAAAAAAAUGUUGACAAAUUCAAAUAAUGUUCAUGUUUUUAUUUUAAAAGUUCGUGUUUUCAAAAAUGUUUGUAAAUUCUAAAAGAUGUUCCUAUUUCAUAUUUUGUUCAUGUUUUUCUGAAAGUGUACCUAAUUUUCAAAAAACUGUUCAGGAUUUAAAAAAUGGUUCAUGUUGCCUACAAUAUUGAGAAACUUCAUACCUUAAAAUCUCCUCGAUUGAAGGAACCAUAGAUUGAAUAAUUCAUGGGCCUUCUCUGGUGGACGAUGACGUAGCAAAACUCUUAAAUGCCCUCAAUCAAUGAAUGGAAAAAUAGCGAAUUGAGUACUUCACACCCAGCGAAACAAAGAAGCUAAAUGUUCCCUUUUUACGUGCGCACAGGGUUUUGCUUGCACAAAUAAUUCUCACUAACUUCCAAUGCAUACUAAUUUUUCUCCCAUUGCGAAGCACAAGCAUAUGUGCUAGUUUUAUCCACGGUGGUACUAAAUUUUUUUGAGUCCAUCUGCUAGAAAAAGGAAAAACAGUUUUGUCAAAAUUUUCGUACAUGGGCCGCGCGCGCUGUGGCCCAGCGAAGCUGGCCCAUUUAUUUCCGGCCGAAGCAGCUGAGAAUAAUUAUUUAACGCUUGGGGCGGCAAAUAGACAAAGUUUCGCAUAGGGCGCCAAAUAUUUGGUCGGCCCAUAUUUGUUUUCUCUCUAGUUUGUUUCUUUUUUUAUUUUCCUUUCUCCUUUUCUUAUCUCUUUACUUUUUCUUUUUUCCCUUUCAAGUUAAUUUUUCUUUUCUCCUUUUCCAUAAAUUAAAUUUUUCAAUAUUUCAGAAUUUUAGUUUUGGAUUAAAUUUUCGUAAAAUCUUCAUAAUUAUUUCUCCCCAUUUUGAAUUGUUUUUAAACUAUAAUUUUUUCUUCUUCUUCUUCCAAAAUUUAUUCAAAACUAUAGAAUAAAGUUCGCAUAUUAAUUUUUUUAUGCUUUCCAAAAUUGUUUGAUAUUUUCAAAAUAUAUUGCAUUAAAAAAUUAAAUAUUUAGAUUUUAUUGAAAUGUUAAUUCAAAGUAAUGUUUGUGUUUAAAAACAUGUUUUUCAAAAUUCUUUUCAAUGUCCAAAACACGUUUUCAUUUCCAAAAAAAAUCACGUAUUCAAAACAUGUUUGCUUUCUUAUAAUAGGUUCAUGUUUUCAAAAAACAUAAAUUUCAAAAAAAUUGUCACAUCUUAAAGAAUAUUCAAAAUAUCGUAAUUAUUACUUUAUUUUUUGAAAAAAAUCAAGAAAAACAGAAAAAAAAAUGUAUAUUAUGCUACAGUAUAUUCUUAAAAUUUCGCCCUCGCCAUUUGUUAGCAUGAGCUGUUUGUUCGAGUGGCUAGCAGCACGUGGUCGAGUUUUUGAGGUCAUGAGUUUGAUCCUUCAACUCAGUGGUUGUUUUGGAUUUUUAUUCACGCCUUACAAAUACAAGUCAUUUUGGUACCUGCCAGCGGCCUUGCCAGACUCGAACUGCCGUGCAUCCGACGUGCUAUUUGACGAUAAAAGAGAAUAUGUUGCUUGACUAUAAUUAAAAAAAUGUGGGCACAUGCCAAUAAAAGAGGAUAUGCUGGUUUGACUCUGAUUAAAAAAAUGUUGGCAAGUGAGCGUCGAAAUAAUUAAAGAGAAUAAACCCUGGUAAAGUAGGGACUACCUGGUUACGUGCUUAUUAUACCAAAGAAACGGGAUUUCCUGCAAUUAGUACUUCAACCGGUUACACCAUCAUAGGAGAGAGUAGUCGAAGCAACUAUGCCACGAAGGUCGCCGUGCUGCACAAAAUGAGGAGGCAACCGCAACCUAGACACGGAGGCAGACUCGGAGAAAAAAAAGCGCAAGUUGGGUGGUGGCCACCACUCCAGCAACCCCAUCAAUAUCAAGAACUCGUGGGCCAAACAUGAUCUCAAGAACAUCGCCGGGGAGACCUUUUGAUGGACACAUCAAUUAUCUCUCCUGAUACUUCUCGUUAAAAAUAUCUUUCUAGUUCUAACGCACGGGCAUAUGUGCUAGUGAUAUAUAAAAUAUGUUGUGCCAAUGAGCACACGGGCUAGCGAGACUCGCCAUGCUUUCAUGUCAUACCGGAGUCCAAACACUCAACUGGAGGGUCCAACCUUAGCGACAGAGUCUUCUUUUGUUGGGAGAAUCUAUAUAUCCGCGAGUGUUAUAUCUCGCAUCUGGUUUACGCGCAGUGCACCUAACCACUAGGCUUUGCCUUACAUUCAUGACAGAGUAGUAAAGCUAGAUUGUUUAAGUCCACACGAGUCAAGGUUUUCAAUGUUUCUUCUCCAUUUUUUUUCAUUUUUUCAUUUUUGUUUUUAUAUUUAUUUCUGUCGGGUUUGUUUGAUCCCUUUCGAGGGCAUAAUAGAGGAACCACACCGUGGUGAUGUGGAUGGGUUUAUAGAUACCAUCACUGUAGGGGAAACGAGGAAGGUUUUCGAUGCACGAAUCACUAGCAUACAUUUUCAUGUUUUACGCUAAUUUGCAAUAUUUGCUAGUCGUUGCUUAAUUGGUUGCGGAAACUGUGGAAACCUUAGUGUUCCUGAUAUUAUUAUUUUGUUCCACGGUUUAUUCUGUGAUAACUCUAUUAGUAUGGGCGGUAUUAUUCCUAAAUGGUUAAGUCUGAACUGUACAAAGGGCCCCAUCUUUGGAGGCAUCUAUGCUUCACACCUAGCUGCGCAUUUUAACAUAGCUAUUAGGCAUUAUGAGAAGGAAGAAAAAUUGCUACCCCCUGUUUAUUUAGAUUAUAAUAGUAUGGUGGCACAUGAUUUUAUUGUUAAGAAUAAGGAAGGGGAGCUUAAAUACAAAUUGUUCUUUGAUAAACAUCAUCCUGAGACUAUUACCCUGCCUGCUCCUUCCUUGUUUGAUUUAUCUGCAGGCAAGUACCUCGUUCCAUUAGAGGCUAUUCACGCCUACCGAAACCCUACAUCAGCCAUAGAGCCAGAGUCGGAACCACAAGUUGAUUCUCCAUGACAGUCUAAUUACCAUUGGGAUCCAGAAAUGAUUGCCACCAGUGGCAAUCAGAGUCUUCUUCGCAGUACGACCCCAACUAUUACUAUGGAUAUCCGCCAGGCCAGCCGUGGCCAUAGACCAACUUAGGUCAAAAGCCUAAACUUGGGGGAGUACGUAUUUCCCGCCGACAUUACAUUCAUGUUCGCACACUCAUUGCUAGAUGUCGGUGCUCAUACUUUUUCAUUGUAUCAUCCAUACUAGUUCAUUUCCUUUUUAAGCUUUCUUCUUGUGUGUUUAAUAAACCUUAAGAAAAACCAAAAACAUUAGUUGUAGCUUUUAGCUAGUUUUAAUUUCCAUGCUCGUAGUAGUAAUUAAAAAGAAAACCCAAAAAAAAGAUUUCAUGUUCUUCUUUUGCUUGUUGGGAGCUUUCCCGUGUAAAUAGUUUUAUUUCUUUUCUUUUCUUUGGGGGUCGAUAGGAGAAGACCAUGAUUAAAUUGUUGAAGUGGCUCUUAUAUGUAUUUUUGUUGAUCUGACAAAAGAGCCCAUAUUGCCUCGACUUCUCCUGUUUAUUGAAUGCUUGCAGAUUCCAGCUUAGUCCAAUGCACGUGCACUAUUAUUAUUAUCCACAUCAUUCGGUCGUGCAAGUGAAAGGCAAUUAUGACGAUAUAUGAUGGACUGACUGAGAUGAGAAAAGCUGGUAUGAACUCAACCUGUCUUGUUUUUGUAAAUAUGAUUAGUUCAUCGUUCCUGAUUCAGCCUAUUAUGAAUAAACAUGUUUGCAAUGACAACUAGAGAUCAUAGUUUCUUGUGCCAUGCUUGAUUAGCUAGGAGCUUAUAAUGGUUUACCUUGCGUGCCAACAUGCUAUUAAAAUGGUUGUGAUGUGGUAUGAUAGGGUGGUAUCCUCCUCUGAACGAUUCGAGUGGCUUGACUUGGCACAUAUUCACGCAUGUAGUUGAAACAAAAUCAACAUAGCCUCUACGAUAUUUAUGUUCAUGGUGAAUUAUAUCCUACUCAUGCUUGCAUUCGGUGCUGAUUAAUUUUAAUGCAUGUUUAUGACUGUUGUCGCUCUCUAGCUGGUCGCUUCCCAGUCUUUUGCUAGCCUUCACCUAUACUAAGCGGGAAUACUACUUGUGCAUCCAAUCCCAUAAACCCCAAAGUUAUUCCAUAUGAGUCCACCAUACCUACCUAUUUACGGUAUCUACCUGCCGUUGCAAGUAAAUUUGUAUGUGCCAAACUCUAAACCUUCAAAUAAAUAUCAUGUUUUGUAUGCUCGAAUAGCUCAUGUAUCAACUAGGUUUGUCUGUAUCUUUCAUGUUAGGCGGGUUAUUCUCAAGAGGAGUGGACUCCGCUCCUCACUCGCGAGAAAAUGGCUGGUCACCCGGAUGCCUAGUCCCAUGCUUUAUGCAAAUCAAAUCAAAAUAAUUGCAAACAAAAUUGCCCCUGGGACUCUUGUUAGUUGGAGGCACUCGUUGUUUCGAGCAAGCCAUGGAUUGAUGCUUGUUGGUGGAGGGGGGGUAUAAAAUUUUCCAUUCUGUUUGGGAACCGCCUAUAAUGUGUGUAGCAUGGAAGAUAUCACCAUCUCUUGGUUGUUAUGUUGACAAUGAAAGUAUACCGCUCAAAAUAUUAUUUACCUCUAUUUCAAAAUCGAGCUCUGGCACCUCUACAAAUCCCUGCUUCCCUCUGCGAAGGGCCUAUCUAUUUACUUUUAUGUUGAGUCAUCAUCCUCUUAUUAAAAUGCACCAGUUGGAGAGCACCGUUGUCAUUUGCAUUCAUUACUAUUAUUUUACAUUGAAUAUGACUUGACUGGAUCUCUUUUACCAUGAAUUACAAUGUCUAGUCAGUCCUUGAUCUUUAAAGGUGCUCUACAUUUAUGUUUUGCGGUCUCAGAAAGGGCUAGCGAGAUACCAUCUUGUUAUAUCAUAUCAUGAUUGUUUUGAGAAAGUGUUGUCAUCCGAGAUUUAUUGUUAUUGCUCGCUAGUUGAUUAUGCCAUUGAUAUGAGUAAACAUGAUACAUAAAUGUUAUUGGAAUAUGGUUAGUUCAUAAUCUUUGCUGAAAACUUGAAUGCUGGCUCUACAUAUUUACAACAACAAGAGCAAACAGAGUUUGUAAAAGUUUUUCUUUAUCACUUUCAGUUUAUCAACUGAAUUGCUUGAGGACAAGCAAAGGUUUAAGCUUGAGGGAGUUGAUACGUCUCCGUCGUAUCUACUUUUCCAAACACUUUUGCCCUUGUUUUGGACUCUAACUUGCAUGAUUUGAAUGGAACUAACCCGGACUGACGUUGUUUUCAGCAGAAUUGCCAUGGUGUUAUUUUUGUGCAGAAAUAAAAGUUCUCGGAAUGACCUAAAAAUCAAAGGAGAAUUAUUUUGAAAUAUAUAAAAAAUAUUGGAAGGAAGAUCCACGUCAGGGGGGCCUCCACCUGUCCACGAGGGUGGAGAGCGUGCCCUACCCCCCUGGUGCUACCUCUUGAGCACUGCGUUGGUUUUCCCUUGAAGAGGAAAGGGUGAUGCAGUAAAGUAGUGUAAGUAUUUCCCUCAGUUUUUGAGAACCAAGGUAUCAAUCAAGUAGGAGAUCACGCUCGAGUCCCGCGCACCUACACAAACAAAUAAGAACCUCGCAACCAAUGCAAUAAAGGGGUUGUCAAUCCCUUCACGGUCACUUACGAGAGUGAGAUGUGAUAGAUAGGAUAAGAUAAUAUUUUUGGUAUUUUUAUGAUAAAGAGAAAUAAAGAUGCAAAGUAAAAUAAACAGCAAUAGAAAUAACUAAGUAUCACCUGGGCGCACCCCCCUGCCUCGUGGACCCCCUGACGCUCCACCGACCUCAACCCUGACUCCAUAUAUUCACUUUCGGGGAGAAAAAAACCAGAGAGAAAGAUUCAUCAUGUUUUACGAUAUGGAGCCGCCGCCAAGCCCUAAACUCUCUCGGGAGGGCUGAUCUGGAGUCUGUUCGGGGCUCCGGAGAGGGGAAUCCGUCGCCAUCGUCAUCAUCAACCUUCCUCCAUCACCAAUUUCAUGAUGCUCACCGCCGUGCGUGAGUAAUUCCAUCGUAGGCUUGCUGGACGGUGAUGGGUUGGAUGAGAUUUAUCAUGUAAUCAAGUUAGUUUUGUUAGGGUUUGAUCCCUAGUAUCCACUAUGUUCUGAGAUUGAUGUUGCUAUGACUUUGCUAUGCUUAAUGCUUGUCACUAGGGCCCGAGUGCCAUGAUUUCAGAUCUGAACCUAUUAUGUUUUCAUCAAUAUAUGAGUGUUCUUGAUCCUAUCUUGCAAGUCUAUAGUCACCUACUAUGUGUUAUGAUCCGGCAACCCCGAAGUGACAAUAAUCGGGACCACUCCUGGUGAUGAUCGUAGUUUGAGGAGUUCAUGUAUUCACUAUGUGUUAAUGCUUUGGUCUGGUACUCUAUUAAAAGGAGGCCUUAAUAUCCCUUAGUUUCCGCUAGGACCCUGCUGCCACGGGAGGGUAGGACAAAAGAUGUCAUGCAAGUUCUUUUCCAUAAGCACGUAUGACUAUAUUCGGAAUACAUGCCUACAUUACAUUGAUGAAUUGGAGCUAUUUCUGUGUCACCCUAGAUUAUGACUGUUACAUGAUGAACCGCAUCCGACAUAAUUCUCUAUCACCAAUCCAUUGCCUACGAGCUUUCCAUAUAUUGUUCUUUGCUUAUUUACUUUUCCGUUGCUAUUGCUAUCAUCACUAUAAAACAACAAAAACAUUACUUUUGCUAUCGUUACCUUUUGCUACCGUUACCACUACUAUCAUAUUACUUUGCUACUAAACACUUUGCUGGAGAUAUUAAGUUUCCUGGUGUGGUUGAAUUGACAACUCAGCUGCUAAUACUUGAGAGUAUUCUUUGGCUCCCCUUGUGUCGAAUCAAUAAAUUUGGGUUCAAUACUCUACCCUCGAAAACUGUUGCGAUCCCCUAUACUUGUGGGUUAUCAUUGCUCCUGCAGCGGGUCUUGCACCUAGCGGUGCUUCUAGGACGUAAUUCUUCUGUGUAGCAAUGAGGAUAAUUCUCAAGUUAUGGACCCAGUCCGUGUAGUUGCUACCAUCAUCUUUCAACUUAGCUUUCUCUACGAACGCAUUAAAAUUCAAAGGAACAGUAGCAGGGGCCAUUGAUCUACAAUAACAUAGACAUGCAAAAUACUAUUAGGUGCUAAGUUCAUGAUAAAUUAAAGUUCAAUUAAUCAUAUUACUUAAGAACUCCCACUUAGAUAGACAUCCCUCUAGUCAUCCAAAUGAUCACGUGAUCCAUAUCAACUAAACCAUGUCUGAUCAUCACGUGAGAUGGAGUAGUUUCAAUGGUGAACAUCACUAUGUUGAUCAUAUCUACUAUAUGAUUCACGCUCGACCUUUCGGUCUCAGUGUUCCGAGGCCAUAUCUGCAUAUGCUAGGCUCGUCAAGUUUAACCCGAGUAUUCUGCGUGUGCAAAACUGGCUUGCACCCGUUGUAUGUGAACGUAGAGCUUAUCACACCCGGUUAUCACGUGGUGUCUCGGCACGAUGAACUAUAGCAAUGGUGCAUACUCAGAGAGAACACUUGUACCUUGAAAUUUAGUGAGAGAUCAUCUUAUAAUGCUACCGCCGUACUAAGCAAAAUAAGAUGCAUAAAGGAUAAACAUCACAUGCAAUCAAAAUAAGUGAUAUGAUAUGGCCAUCAUCAUCUUGUGCCUUUGAUCUCCAUCUCCAAAGAACCGUUAUGAUCACCAUCAUCACCGGCUUGACACCUUGAUCUCCAUCGUAGCAUCGUUGUCAUCUCGCCAACUAUUGCUUCUACGACUACCGCUACCGCUUAGUGAUAAAGUAAAGCAAAAACAAGUGUGAUGUCCUCUACUUUGUUGUUGCAAGUUUUACGUGGCUGCUACGGGCUUCUAGCAAGAACCGUUCUUAUCUACGCCUCAAAACCACAACAAUUUUUCGUCAAGUGUGUUGUUUUAACCUUCAACAAGGAUCGGGCGUAGUCAAACUCGAUUCAACUAAAGUUGGAGAAAUAGACACCCACUAGCCACCCGUGUGUGAAGCACCUCGGUAGAACCAGUCUCAUGAACGCGGUCAUGUAAUGUCGGUCUGAGCCACUUCAUCCAACAAUACCGCCAAAUCAAAGUAAGACGUUGCUGGUAAGAAGUAUGACUAUUAUCGUCCACAACUCAUUGUGUUCUACUCAUGCAUAUAACAUCUACGCAUAGACCUGGCCCGGAUGUCACUGUUGGGAAACGUAUUAUUUCAAAAAAAAAUCCUACAAUCACGCAAGAUAUAUCUAGGAGAAGCAUAGCAAUGAGCGGGGAGAGUGUGUCCACGUACCCUCGUAGACCGAAAGCGGAAGCAUUUAGUAACACGGUUGAUGUAGUCGAACGUCUUUGCGAUCCAACCAAUCCAAACACCUAACGUACGGCACCUCCGCAUUCAGCACACGUUCAGCUCGAUGACAUCCCUCGAGCUCUUGAUCUAGUUGAGGCCGAGGGAUAGUUCCGUCAUCGCGAUGGCGUGGCGACGGUGAUGAUGAAGUUACCGGCGCAGGGCUUCGCCUAAGCACUACGACGAUAUGACCGAGGUGUGUAACUGUGGAGGGGGGCACCGCACACGGCUAAGAGAAACUUGUGUCUUUGGGGUGCCCCCUCCCACGUAUAUAAAUGGAGGGAGGAGGCCGGCCCAAGGGGGGGCGCCACAUGUGGGGAGUCCUACUAGGACUCCCUUGUCCUAGUAGGAUUCCCCUCUCCUUUCCUUUUACGGAGGGGGAAAGGGGGGAAGGAGAGGAGGGGAAGAGGGAAAGGGGGGCACGCCCCCUCCCCUUCCUAUUCGGACUCCACUUGGGGGGGACGCGCACGCCUCCCCCUUGUGGGUUGUCCCCUCUUCUCUCCCAUGGCCCAUAAGGCCCAUGAUUUCCCCCAGGGGGUUCCCGUAACCUCCCGGUACUCCGAAAAAAUUCCCGAAUCACUCGGAAUCAUUCCGAUGUUCAAAUGCAACCUUACAAUAUAUGAAUCUUUACCUCUCAACCAUUUUCGUGAUCUCAUCUGGGACUCCGAACAAACUUCAGUCAUCAAAUCACAUAACUCAUAAUACAAAUUGGCAUCGAACGUUAAGUGUGUGGACCCUACGGGUUUGAGAACUAUGUAGACAUGACCGAGACACAUCUCCGGUCAAUAACCAAUAGCGGAACCUAGAUGCUCAUAUUGGCUCCUACAUAUCUACGAAGAUCUUUAUCGGUCAAACCGCAUAACAACAUACGUUGUUCCCUUUGUCAUAUGUAUGUUAUUUGCCCGAGAUUCGCUCGUCGGUAUCCUCAUACCUAGUUCUAUCUCGUUACCGGCAAGUCUCUUUACUUGUUCCAUAAUGCAUCAUCUGGUAACUAACUCAUUAGUCACAUUGCUUGCAAGGCUUAUAGUGAUGUGCAUUACCGAGAGGGCCCAUAUAUACCUCUCUGAUACACGGAGUGACAAAUCCUAAUCUCGAUCUAUGCCAACUCAAGAAACACCAUCGGAGACACCUGUAGAGCAUCUUUAUAAUCACCCAGUUACGUUGUGAUGUUUGAUAGCACACUAAGUGUUCCUCCGGUAUUCGGGAAUUGCAUAAUCUCAUAGUCAUAGGAACAUGUAUAAGUCAUGAAGAAAGCAAUAGCAAUAAAAUUAAACGAUCAUUGUGCUAAGAUAACGGAUGGGUCUUGUCCAUCACAUCAUUCUCUAAUGAUGUGAUCCCGUUCAUCAAAUUACAACACAUGUCUAUGGUUAGGAAACUUAACCAUCUUUGAUUAACGAGCUAGUCUAGUAGAGGCAUACUAGGGACACUCUGUUUGUCUAUGUAUUCACACAUGUACUAAGUUUCCGGUUAAUACAAUUUUAGCAUGAAUAAUAAAGAUUUAUCAUGAUAUAAGGAAAUAUAAAUAACAACUUUAUUAUUGCCUCUAGGGCAUAUUUCCUUCAGGAAGAGCAUUGCGGGUGGGAGGGAGAAGGGGAAUUAAGAGAGUGUAGGUUUCGGUUUGGGCCUCCGCGCGCUAUGUGUACACAUGUGUUGGUGGGUCAAUAGUAGUGGCGCCAGGUUUAUACCCCACACUACUACUAUGGCCUAUCCCGGGGGUACGAUAGAGACCACUUAGUAGUAGCGAGGGAUUUAUACCCCUCGGUACUACUAUCAACUUAGUACUAGUGAGGGAUUUAUACCCCUUGCUACUACUAUCAACUUAGUAGUAGUGAGGGAUUUAUACCCCUCGAUACUACUAUGGCCAGUCCCGGGGGGCACGGUGGAGACCACUUAGUAGUAGUGUGGGGUUUAUACCGCUCGCUACUACUAUCAACUUAGUAGUAGCGUGGGUUCUAUACCCCUCUCUACUAAUAAUUAGCAGCAGUGUGGCCCAUAUACCCCUUGCUACUGUUAAGCAUCUAUCUAUAAAUUAUUUUCUAGUAGUGCAUCAAUGGCGGCGAAAUCAGUCAUUCUGCUUGUUUUCCCUACUAGCUCUCUGACGUCCAGAACAAGUUUACGGUCAUAAGGUGCAAUGCCCUUGCCUUCAUGAGUGACACGAUGACACGGGAACGGGCUUCCAAGCCUAUGGUGUCGCAUCGUGUCGUGGUCUGCUAAACUUAGUGGACGGAUGCUACUCCAAUAUCGGUUGAUCCUAUACUACGGUACCAAGGAAGACACGCAACUACUAUAUAUAUUUCUUCAAGUCAGUCAACACAAGUAAACUCUGGGAGUUCAACUGGUGCAGCUAUGCAAUGCUAAUGGAGACAACACAAUUCAACUUUAGCACUUCACACAUAAGAAAAACCACGUUCAAUGGCACACACCUUAGAGUGUACCUAUGGUGGUUGAAUGGGCUAUAAGAAAUGUGAGUCCAUGUGAAGAUGCCAAACAUAAUAACACGGCUAAUUACACAUGCAGUGGCAGCAGCAACAAGUGCGUGAAUUCAACAAAUGAUCUAGGGUACACAUGCAACGGUGUCCUUGAGUAUGACAACAACCCUUAUCUUCUAGACAAAUGCAUGGUAUGCUACUAAUUUAUUUGCUACAAAUUCCAAUGAAUUGUGUCCUUUGCUUUGUACAUACCCAAUUAUAAUAUUUUAUUAUGCUAAUACAAUGUAGCCUUCAAUUUAAACCAAGGUUUGCAUCCAUUAAUUAUGUUAGGUUCAUAUGACUUCACUACAUAAAUAGGUAGAUAAUGCAUAAGACUGAGAUUGUAGCUAGGGAUGAAAAUCUAAAUACGGCAUGAAUCUAACAAUUAUGAGUAAUGUCUUUGUGACAAGAACUUUCUUUGUCUUUUAUUCCCAUGUUUGAACUAGUAUAGGUCAGGGUUACACAUUAUGGUGCACAUCACUUUAUUUGUCACCGUUACAUUGAACACCCAUUGACUAAACAACGAUAAUCCAUCCGUCUUGUAUUACAGGUCUUCAUUUCAUUGGCCACCGAUGCUUGUAAGACUACUCCCAGAUGGUUGUUGUUGUGGAUAUGGUUGUUGAGGUUGGUGUGGUUGCUGGGGGAAUGGUUGUUGGGGUUGCUGGGAAAUUGUUUGUUCUAGUUGCUGGGAUAAUUGUUGUUGGGGCUGCAAAAAUGGUUGUUGUGGUUGCAGGAUGGAUGGUUGCUGGGGUUGGGGCUGGGGAAAUGAUUGUUGUGAUUGUUGGGGUUGCUGGGAAAAUGGUUGUUGCGGUUGAAGGGGGAAUGGUUGUUGUGGUUAUAGAGGGAAAGGUUGUUGUGGUUGUUGAGGGAAUGGUUGUUGUGGUUGUUGNNNNNNNNNNNNNNNNNNNNNNNNNNNNNNNNNNNNNNNNNNNNNNNNNNNNNNNNNNNNNNNNNNNNNNNNNNNNNNNNNNNNNNNNNNNNNNNNNNNNNNNNNNNNNNNNNNNNNNNNNNNNNNNNNNNNNNNNNNNNNNNNNNNNNNNNNNNNNNNNNNNNNNNNNNNNNNNNNNNNNNNNNNNNNNNNNNNNNNNNNNNNNNNNNNNNNNNNNNNNNNNNNNNNNNNNNNNNNNNNNNNNNNNNNNNNNNNNNNNNNNNNNNNNNNNNNNNNNNNNNNNNNNNNNNNNNNNNNNNNNNNNNNNNNNNNNNNNNNNNNNNNNNNNNNNNNNNNNNNNNNNNNNNNNNNNNGAAUGGUUGGUGGGGAAUUAUUUGUUCUGGUUGCUGGGGAAUUAUUUGUUCUGGUUGCUGGGGGAAUGGUAGUUGGGGUUGGGGAAAUGGUUGUUGGGGUUGCUGGGGGAAUGGCUGUUGUGGUUGCAGAGGGAACGAUUGUUGGGUCUGGGGAAAUGGUUGUUGUGGUUGCCAGGAAAAUGGUUGUUGGGGCUGUGGAAAAGGUUGUUGUGGUUGUUGGGGUUGCUGGGGGAAUGGUUGUUGUGGUUGUAAGGGGGUCGGUUGUUGGGGUUGGGGAUAUAAUUGUUGUGAUUGCUGGAGAAAUUGUUGUUGGGGUGUGGAAAAUGGUUGUUGUGAUGGAUAUGGUUGCUAUGAUGGAUAUGGUUGUUGUGGAUAUGGCUGUUGUGGAAAUGGUUGUUGUUGAUGGGAAAAUGAUUGUUGAGGUGAUUGUAACUCUUUGUUGCUAGGGUUUAGCUGCCUAGCGGCAAUGGCGGUGUUCAUCGCCAUGGCAAGGAGGACAAAGAUGAGGAAGGUCUUCAUGUUGGAUUUGUGGUUACUACUGCUUGCUUGCCUUUGAUGCUUGUGGUCUAGGUGUGUGAAGUUUGGUUGAUGGAAGGUGUCCUUGGUGGUGCAUGUGUAUUUAUAGUUUUCAUGGCAUGGCUUGCUUUCAUCUUUGCACUCGCUCUUUGAAAAAGUGCAUCAAUGCUUAUCCAACUAAUCAUUUGGUUUGUUGUGUUUGGUGCAACUACUUACU
rnacentral:lncRNA from 1 species